CAAGGCAACUUGUGACACCGGAUCGGGCGUCAACAUAAUGGCCGCAGUCACCUAUCGACUCUUGUUUGGAACCAUGCCCCUAAGACCAACAUACAUUCAGCUCCAGAUGGCAGAUCAGACAUUUUGAGAAGUUAAAGGAACAAUAUCUGAUGUCCCAGUCAAAAUAGACGAUCAUUUUGUCUACACAGACUUUCAAGUUAUUGACAUGGGAGAAGACGAGUAUGAUCCACCCAUCAUCCUUGGAAGUCCGUUCCUCAGCACCGUUAAAGCAAUUAUCUAGAUUAGAACCGGAGAAGUCCAUAUGCACUUCCCCUCAGAGAAGGUACGCCGCUAUUUUACUGACCCUAACUAUAUUAUUGAAGAAUCUAAGCAGGUAAGAAAACAACGCAACCGCAACCAGAGGAGGCAGAUCAUCAAGGACGGAUGGACAUACUAUGAAGGAGAAGUUGUAAGGUCAGAAGACGUAGAGUUUAAACAGAAUUAUCCAGAGGAGACUGUAGCACCGAGUCAGGUAUGGAAAGAGAAGAUAACUAUACAUAAAGAGGAGGCGCUGCCGGAAGUACUGACUACGCCACCCAACGAACCUCAGGACAAUUGAGAAAACGGAGAGUCCCGUUCGGAGGACUUAAAAACACCGAACACCUUGCCAAGAGGUAAACUUGGUAGUUAUCCUUUCCCUUUCAAUUAUUUUAUAAUAGUUUACUUAGUUAAUUAAGUUCAUAUUAUCUUAAAAAGAAAAUAAAAAUGUAAAAAACAGUAAGCCCCAUGUGAGUAUACGAGUGGCAUAAAACUCAUAAGUACAUUCACUGUGGUGGCAUAAAAAUAAAAUAAACAUUUUUCUGCUUUAUAAAAAUGAAAAGAUAAAAACAGGGAGUAAUAUUUAUUAAGGAGUCUCAACAUGAUAAAUGCUAGAUAUUUAUGCUAACACUUAAUCAAGUUCCACAAGCUUUGUUGUCUAUUUGAGCUCCACAGAAUUUAAGAAUCAGGAAGACUGGCAGACGGAGGACAUUCUAAUCGCUGUCAGAAUGCUGCUGACUUUCAAAUACACCUCUGCCGCCUGCUAGCUACAUCAAGAGAAAUUACGUCAAAAUUCAGCUUGGGGGAGAGCACCCCCAUUUAUCCCGAUAAGUAUUUCUAUCUAUCUAUCUUUAUACUUAUAUUAAAAUAUAAAUAUAUAUAACUAUGGAAAAAUCAAAUAAAGAUUUUAUGCUUAUAUAUAUAUAUCUUUUGCUUAGUGUGUUUAAUAAGUAAAUAAAGUGGCUAUGAUAAUCUGUAUCUAAAUAAAACUUAAGCAUGGAUAUGAUGAAUAGUUUCUCUGCCUAAUUUGCACAUUUUAAGUUGUCUCUCAAGUUUAGACAUAACUGUUAUAAUUUAAAUCUUGCUCUAGACCUAAACUUGUGGGAUGAAAACUUGAUCUGAAGUCUAAGUUGUUAACGGAUACGAUAUGGGAAGGUUGAGCUGCUGUUUAUCUGUUCCUAGAGAUGCUAGAAUUCUAGAGAAUUUUAUCUUUGAAAAUCUUUAAAAUGUUGCAUGAUGAGUUCCUGUAUGAUGAGAGUUUAAAUUCCUACCACAGCCGUAUAUACAUGCUUGCUAGGCUUUGAGCCACACAUUUACCAUUUACUGCUUAUGAGCAUUGAGUGUAGUCAAGCUGUGUAGACCCUUAGGAGCUUGUCAUGUGGUUAAAUCAAGAUUCACUUGCACGUUCACUCAUAUAUGCUACUUCUACUCCGGAAGUACCAUCCACAUAUAUCCAUCCAUUUCCAUCUCCAGAACCACCCAAAAAUAUUCUACUCCUAAUCCGGGAGAGAAUAACCAAAAGUAUUUUUGUUUUUCCCCUUGUGAAAUAAAUGCUCAAGUUAUCUUGUUACUACCACUUGCUACAUUAUCUCAAGAGAUGAGUGCUCUAAAAAAAAUAUGAGGAAAUAAAAAGGAGCAAGUGCUCGGAACCUCGAAAGAAAAGAAAAGUGAGACGAGAGGUAAAAAUGGACAAGUGUCCGACAGUAGAAUUAGGGGUACAAGAUACCCACUUGAGAGAAAAGAAAAAGAGAGCAUCUCAGUCUCCUCAUAAAGUUUCAAAAAGCAAGGAAGGUAUGUAUCCCCUCAAAAGAGCAAAGUAGAGUUAGACUUCCACCAUUGUUAUCACCAUCAUCACCAUACACCAUUCAUUCGCCACACAUGCACAUCUUGAUUUGACUUAUUGAUUUGUUUCUUUGGAUCCAUGGUUUGACUAUGCAAUAAAUGUCUUGUAAGUAUGUAUACUUGAUCUCCCACCUAUGAGCUCCAGAUAUUAAAGCCUUGUUAGAGUAGGAUGAGAGAGAAGACAAUGUCUUUAUGCUUUAUACCACAAAUACUACAUAUCUUGAGAGAAGGCAUAUACCAUCACUGCCUUGGUAAGGAUCCAGAAAUACCACAAAAGAGAGAUCUGAGAGAAUCAUACAAGGAAUCUCUGAGUUUUAUUUGAAAAUCUUUUAAAACCCCAGAGCUAUAGCUGAUCAAGAAUAAGAGACAUGGCACUUGACUAGACUGUUCUAUCUUUUAACCACUCAAGACAGAAGUGACGGUUACAAGUCCCAUGGUGAAGGUAAAGUAAGUAAGUUUUAAGUCUUGACAGUUUAGUCUAACUCAGAGAUGAGAUCCUAUUUAAAAGGCAUGUGUACCGUCAAUUUUUAAAAUAUUGAAACAACUUAUGAUCCAUAGUUGAGUCUAUCCUUGCUCAGGGACGAGCAAGAGGUAAGCUUGGGGGAGUUAUUCACGGUCCUUAAGUAUCAAAUUUAAUUAUCAAAUAAAUAAAGAAAAGGAUCCAAAUGAAAUCAACAUCUAGACUUAGGGUUUUAUCUGACAGAAUUCCACGAGUUUUGGUGUUUGUCUAUUUCUGCAGGGGGUUAUCAGGAAAUACGGAAGAAAGGCCCACACGUCGGGAUUAGAUAGAGAUAUUAACGUGCCGCGCAAUUAUCUUACAUCUAGAAGACUCCAGAAGCCACGAGACCGAAGCGGAGGCGAAACGGGGCCAGAGGCAGGGCGCCCGCCCUCCUGCCCUAGGCGCCCGCCCCCUCCCUGAGUCCAAUCAGGACUCUGCUUUGUGGGAGAUCUCCACCGACCUAAAGGAUGAAUCUAAACCAUACAAUCUAAGUCGGUUUGAUCCAAUGGCCCAUAUUCACUUGAAGGGACUAUAAAACCAGACCCCCUGGCCCCUGGAGGAGGGAGCCUCUCAACCCUAAUUCAUUGUUCUUCAAGGGAGAAGAAGCCCCUGAUCAAGAUUAGAGCCACCACAUCAAUUAGACAUCUAGAUUAGCAUAGCUACAUAGGAUUAGAACUAGAAGGAGUCAAUCUUCGAUUGGUUUCCGGAUCUGUCAAGAGGAUUCUUGGUAAUUCUCUAAUUGUGCUUCUAAUUGCUUUCUAAUUAUCUUUGUUCUUCAAUAUUAUGAAUAUGACUUUGUUCUACUUCAAUAUAUUGCUUAUGACUUUGCUCUACUUGCUUAUAUUCAAGAUUAUAUUAUUCUUAGUUUAUCAUAGUUAUGUACUUGGCUUAGUUAGAUUGGAUCUAUAUACAUGCUUAGGAUCGUAUAGCGUUUAUCCAUCGGAUCCGUGCAUAAAUGAUAGAUAUUGUGUAGGCGUGGUGCUUAUACCGUAUUUAUCUGCGAUUGUACCCAAUAUGCCAGAUUGUGGGGUAGUUCGUGAUAGUGACAGCUUCAUUGAUUCUUAUAUAGUCCCCCUCUCGUGUAUUGGGCUGGCAGAGCAAUAUUAUUACAGGGGAGUGAUUGCUAUGUUUCUCAUAUUCCUUGCUAAUAUCACUAUGCAUGGGCGUAGUCUUGUCUCGCAACUAAGUAUGCUUGCACUAACUAUGAUAUGCUAGACUAUAUAGUUGAGAAUAACUUAGGGAAUAUUCUUGUAGUUCGUUCUAAUACCAUGCUAAUGACUUUCUAGAGUAUCUAAUUGAGGUGCUUAUCAUAUUUAUUAUGUGGCUGAUCAGAUUAAUUAUCUUUGUCACUAUUCAUUAUUUCAUAUAUCUUUUAUAUGACACUUAUCCCUGUAUGAAGAGUUAGAUAAAUGUUCUCAAUUAUACAUGCAAUGAUAGAUACUCAAUCUCAUAUUCUAUUCUGUAAUCAAUAGUGAUGAUUGCUAAUCCCUUCCCAGUGGUAAAAAUAUAAAUAACGAUACCUGGAAUACUUCCCGGUUAAAAUGCUACAUCGGUAUUAAUCUGUGCGCUUGCAGAUCCCAUUCAUUAUUUAUUUAGAACAGCAAUUGCAUAUUUCAAUACCGCGUCUCUCAUGUCAUGCUGGGGAUGACAACUUGGCUUAAGUGGUGUGAGGGUUAGGUUUGGCAUUUUUGGCACCGUUACUAGAUUUAGAGAACUUAGUCUACUUUUGGUAAUGAUGUUAAGAAUACCCAACAAUCGGCAGACUCUCCAUCGUAGCUAUCGGCAAAGGUCAACGCUGACUAUCAGCAUAAACACAUCACCACCCAUGGACUUAGCCACAUUCAGCCGUCUCCUCAUCGGCAACUCUCCUGCAGACCAGUUACUGUUGCCCUAUCUUGCCGAUCUACACUCUACCGAUCCUGGGUACGUGUCUAAAAAACGGUGUCAACACAUGCCCCCCCAAUUUCAGAGUAUGAAAUCAUUAAUGCUCCGAAAUUCUUCGCAGUAAUGAUUAAUUCUCCCAAUUUGGCAACCGACAACCUAAAUCUGAACAACCUCGGUCCGUUUCUUCUAUAGAUUCCUCGAAUUCCUCAACCUCCCAAACGGACAUCUCCACUUUAAUCACCCAUCGGCAAUAUUAUCGUUACAAGGAACUGUCGAUGGACUGCCCAGGACAUCUCGCACAGUGAAAUACCUUAACCUCUCAAAUGGACAUCUCCACUUUAUUCGCUCAUCGGCAAUAUUACCGUUACAAGGCGCUGCCGAUGGACCGACCAGGAAAUCCCGCACAGUGAAAUAUCUCCAGACUAUGACCGCUUCCUGUCAAAUCAUCUGCACAAUCCCUUGAUUACCGUACGAACAGUUACCACAUCCACCUGAGUACUCUCGGAUUUCACGGAUACGGCGAAGAGAUAAGUCAGAUUUGCCCUUGCCCAUUUUGUCCUAUAAAUAGUUCCUUCUCGGGUACUCCUUCUCCAUCGCAUCAUUCUACAGCCCCAACUCCACUUUUCUGGCGGCGACGCGGUUCGAGAGCUCCAAGAACUCCAACGAAGACCUUCCUUCACUAGCCUCAAAAUCUUCGAUCAUCUUCUUCAUGAGGAGAUGGCCGUCAACUUUUCUGUCCCCGAGGUCAGUUCAUCACCCUACCUUUUGUACUCUUACCAUAUCCUCGUUUAUCUGCAAUUUGUUUUACUGAACAUUCUCCCCUUUUUUCUUUUGUUCUUCUUUUUACCCUAAAAACCAUUAGGAUCUGUCCAAUAAAAUUGUCAUCCCUACCGAUCAGCCACACCUCCAAUGUCUUGGUCCGCUAGGGAACCCAGAUCCCACUGAUCUAAUCAACGCAGAGACAAACAGGAUUCCCUUUAGAGCCAAGAAUUUUUCCCUAGAUCUGUGGAAAGACACCUUCCGUUCCUGGCCCAGUCCUACCGUGGGAUGGAAGGAUUGGUUCUUGAGAGUCAGUCAUUCGAAUGAGGUUCAAUGGGGUGAGCGAAAACUGGACCAAUGCAUCAGGUUGUCCAUUGUCGAUAUGCAUAGGAAUGAGUCACUGCUGAUAGCUGCAUCUUAUUUCUGGUCGGACACUCUUAAUGCCUUUGUCUUUGGUCAUGGCCCUGCUUCUCCCACUCUUGCCGAUGUGCUUAUGCUCACCGGCUUAGAUGUAUCCACUGCUGAUAGUAGUCACCUAUUUGACACCACGCCUAGUGCCAAAGUGGAAACCCGCGCUAUCGGCGGCUGGUCCGGGUACAUUCAGAAGUACCGCAGAACGGGGCCUGUCAACAUAAAGGAACAAACCACCUUCCUAAACAUGUGGCUGGACAAGUUUGUAUUCUGUGGUCGAUCGGCAGGACCAACCUCUCUCUACCUAUCGGCAGCAGAGAGAUUAGCUAAUGGUGGCCGAUUUCCCCUCGGCCGAUACCUGCUUGGCUCGGUUUACCACCUCCUCCACCAAGUAGCCAGAAAACUCCUACUUGGUCAAUCCAUCGGCAACUUAGGGGGCCCCUGGUGGUUUAUCAAUAUGUGGCUCAGUCUCCAUAUGAACAAGCGUCUUGAGUUCAACCUCUUCGCACAACGCUUCCCUAGGGAUAUAGCCGAAGAUUAUGAAUUGGAUGAAGAAGAAUCGGCAACUCGUCCUCCUCUGAACUUUGGCGAGGCUGUCAUAGUUCUACCUGGUACCGGUGGCAACGCAGACCAGGUCAGCCGAUUCUUCCCGACCCUGUACGAAGGCCUGACCAGAGAGUAGCGAGCGUGGAUGCCUUAUGAAGAUCCACACACCAUGUUUCCUUUGGUUUUCCAUCCAUUCAAUGAUGCUCUUAACAAGGAUCACGAUAUGAUGAUGGCACUGGUCACUCCUAGAGCUAUACCAGUAAACUUCUUUGGUAGUGGGAAAGCCUCCAACCAAACCUAUGAGUUUUACAAUCCAUCGGCACUAGCCCACCAACUAGCUUUCGGUCAGCUACCGAUUGCACUCUGUUAUGUCGAUGUGAUAAAACCUAGGGAAACCAUCACUAGCCUUCUCGAGUGGACCCGAGUAGCUCAACUGCCACCGAGUGCCGAUACAGAUGCAGAUUUAUUAGAGUGGAUCCCGGCCCUCUUCAUCACUCAGGCAUACAAACAAUGGUGGGAAGAAUGGAAGGAGCAUCUAUUCUGCAAAUCGGCUCUUACAUACCGCGGCAUGAUCGACCCCCAGUACAAAGUUCCCGAUAACACUGUAAGUAUUUCCAAACCGAUGUCUCAAUGCUUUCACUUUUAUUUUCAUCGGUAACUCACUUUCUGUAUUGUAUUGCAGGUUGAUAACAUCUCCCCAUCGGUCAGCAGGAGUGGCAAGCCGAUUGAUCUUUUUCCAUCAGGUCCAAUCUCUUCAAUCGGCAACAAUGCUCCCAAUUUGGCUGCUAUAAUGCAUCGAGGUGUGCGCCUGAAGAAAGUCACCACCAAGCGUACAAAGACAUCUCCAUCGGUAGCUGCCUCCGCCUUAGCACAGGCCUUCAAGGUAACUAUUCAAACUCUUUCAUUCAUACUGAUUCCACUCCUGCAUCUGUUGCAUUUGUACUCACAAAUUUCCCUUGUUGUAACAGCAUACCGGUGCAUCGGCAAGAACCAGAAGCACAAGUGCCGAUGCCCCCCAGUCCAGUCAAGCGAAGAGGAAAGGUUCCAAGAGCACCAGAUCGCAAGCAAAGCGCCAGAGGACAGCAAUACCUUCUCCUCCCCCAGUAUCACCGAUCCCGGUGGAAUCUUCUCCCUCUCCUCCAGAAACCCAGAUACAACCAGUACCACCUCCUUCUCAGCCACAAGAAGCACCCCAAGUGGAAGAACUCCAACCAGAAGAGCCCCAACUAGAAGUACCUCAGCCGGAAGACACAUCGGCUGACGUGCAUGAGCAAACUACCGAUCCAGCAGGUUAAAUCAUAGCAUCAGUAGUUUCCUCCAUCCAAACAAGUACUGCUCCCCCUCAAGGUAACACACUUUCCAUGAAAUCACUGCCGAUGAACCUAUUUUCUCUGUCUUAUAAUUAUCCCUGUUAUUCUUUUUGCUGACAUAGUCCCAUCGGCAACCCCAGCCGAUCAGCCUAUGGUUCCAUCGGCAUCAUCUAGUCAGAGGCGAGAAAUUGCCUUGAAACAAGUAAGUUACCCAAUCUUUAUUUGUAUCAUUUAUCAAUACUUAACCAUAGGAUAACUUAUUCCACUUCCUUUUCAGGAACAAGACUCCCCCGACAGUUUGUUCUCCUUUGCCAUCGACAUCUCUGAAGAUGAAGGUGAGGAGGCAAGCUCUUCUCGAGCAGUCGGAAUCACAUCGGCAGAAAUCAGAGCGAAGUUGGAAGAAUCGUCGGCCCUCCUUCAUCAAGACACAGCCCAACUGGUUGAUGAUUCUGAUCCGGCCAAAGCUUUGUUCAAGACCCUCAGAGGCCAAAUUCCUGCCGAUGCUGAAGAAGCUCUUUUUCAAGCUGCACAUCUAGAGAGCCGUCAGCUGCAGUACCAGAGGGCUGCCUAAUGUCUUGCCGAUAGAUGAUGAAGGUGAAGCUCCUUGCCGAUGAGAAGCACAAGAACAUCGGCAUCUUAAAGUCCUCAGAAGAUGCACUGAAGCACAAGAUCUCUGACCUGUUGGCAAAAAGAGAAGCCCUGUUGGCAGAACUCAAGCAAGUAGAGGAAGCCUUGUCCCAAGCUCAGCAAGAGGAGAACCAGCUGCCUGAGGCGAUCAAACUCCUUGAACAAGAGCGAAAUGUCCAUGGCCGCACGGCGCUGCAGAUGAAGAAGAAGCUGAAGCUAGUGGAGGGUUCUGCCGAUGACGACGUGAAGGAGAUAGAAGAAGCCAACCAGAUCUGUCUGUGCGCCAUAUUGACAAUCCAGGCGCUGCUGAACAUAUGAACUCUUCAUCGGCGACACACUUGCUCUUCUGUUUUGAACAAUCCUAGUAUCUUGGUCUAGCCGAUAGGACUGUUAUCGGCACCUUUUAAAACAUUAAGUUCAGCUCCAGAUACAUUUUGAUCCAGCCGAUAGGAAUGUUAUCGACACUUAAACUUUCAUGCAUCGACCCAUAUGCUUGGGUAAUACUUCUUUAGAUAUUUGCCAUUUAAUGCUCUGUGAAAUUCAACUCCUUCGAGAGUUUCUAAAAUAUAGGCGUUACCAGGAGCCGAUCGACUUAUCCGAUAGGGACCCUCCCAAUUGGGGGACCACUUCCCAAAGCUUGAACUUUUAGUCCCGAUCGGUAAGAUCAGCUUCCACACUAAGACCCCAUCGGCAAACUCCUUAGCUUUUACCUUCUUAUCGUACCAUCUGGCAACUCUCUUCUUAUUCUCUUCUAUACUCAUCAAAGCCCUUAGCCGAUGUCCUGCUAGAUCAUCCAAAUCAUCUAUCAUCUGUCAUCAAAGUAGCAUAAUCAUCGGCAGCCAGUUGAUCUUGAAAAGAUAGUCGCCUAGACCCAGUCUUAAUUUCCCACGGGAACACCACAUCAUGCCCAUACACCAACUAAUAAGGUGAAACCUUGAUCGAUCCAUGACAAGCCAUCCGGUAUGAUCAUAAAGCUUCAUUUAACAAUGUGUGCCACCUCCUAGGAUUUUCUUCAAUCUUUCAUUUAAUAAGCUUGAUAAUUCCUUUGUUAGAUGCCUCGGCCUGCCCAUUAGCUUGAGCAUAGUAAGGAGAAGAGUUUAAUACUUUAAUUCCCAUACCAAUUGCAAAUUCAUCAAACUCCCCCGAUGUGAACAUAGUACCCUGAUCAGUAGUAAUUGUUUGAGGAAUUCCAAAUCGAUAAAUAAUAUGCUCUUUCACAAAAUCAAUCAUAUUGGCCGAUGUAACUUUCUUUAAAGGAAUAGCUUCAACCCAUUUGGUGAAAUAAUCGGUGGCAACCAGAAUAAAUUUAUGCCCUUUGCUGGAUGGCGGAUAAAUCUGGCCGAUCAAAUCAAUAGCCCAUCCCCGGAACGGUCAAGGCUUGAUGAUAGGAUUCAUUGCCGAUGCAGGUGCCCUUUGAACAUUGCCAAAUUUCUGACAUCCUUGACACCCCUUAAAAUACUUAAAACAAUCUUAAAGAAUAGUCGGCCAAUAAUACCCAUUUCUUCUAAUCAUCCACUUCAUCUUAAAAGCCGACUGAUGUGCUCCACAUACUCCUUCAUGGAUUUCUCCCAUCAAACUUCUAGCCUCAUCAUUGCCUAAGCAUCUGAGAAGAAUCCCAUCAAUGGUUCGGUAAUAUAACUCAUCUUCGAGCAGUACAUACUUAGUGGCUUGAAACCGAACACGUCUCACAACUUUCUUAGAUGGAUCCUUUAAAUAAUCAAUGAUCUCUUUUCUCCAAUCAUCGGCACCGAUUACCGAUAUUGCAUUAAUCAUGGGCUGAUAUCCCGAGGCAUGCUGAGCCAACCGAUUAGGCUCUUCAUUAUGCAACCGAGGAACAUGCUCUAAUCAGAAGUCCUUGAAUUCCUUUAAUAGUUGCAUACUCCUCUCGUGAUAAGUUAUGAGGACUUCAUUUCGGCAUUCAUAGCUUCCAGCCAAUUGAUUUAUAACUAGCAUAGAAUCCCCAAAGAUUUCAACAGCAUCAACAUGAACUUCCCGUAGCAAUUCCAACCCCUUUGUCAAGGCUUGAUACUCAGCUUGAUUAUUUGUUGACGUGGCAACAAUCGGCAAGGAGAACUCAUACUUCCUUCCUCGAGGGGAAAUUAGCACGACGCUGAUUCCUGCCCCCCGGUCACACGUGGAUCCAUCAAAGAAGAGCGUCCAAGGUACAAUUUCCACUGUACCGCAAUGUUGAGUCACAAAAUCGGCCAUAAUCUGUCCCUUAACCGCUUUAGCCGAUUCGUAACGCAAAUCAAACUCCGAUAGUGCCAAAAUCCACUUACCGAUUCUGCCACUCAUAAUCGGCAUAGACAGCGUAUACCGGACCACAUCAUCUUUGCAAAUAACAGUGCAUUCGGCCGAUAGCAAAUAAUGCCUCAACUUAAUACAGGAGAAAUACAAGCAUAAGCACAGUUUCUCAAUAGCUGAAUACCUGGUCUCAGCAUCAAUCAACCUCCUGCUUAAAUAGUAAAUCACACGCUCUGUCCCUUCAAAUUCUUGAAUUAAAGCCGAACCAAUGACCAUCCCAUCGGUAGACAAAUACAAUGUGAAGGGCUUCCCUUGCUGAGGUGGAAUCAGAAUUGGAGGAUUUACCAAAUAAUUCUUGAUUUCAUCUAAGGCCAACUGUUGUUCUUUCCCCCAAACAAAUUCUUGAUCGGCUUUCAAUUUAAGUAGAGGACUGAAAGCACGAAUUUUACCAGACAAAUUAGAUAUAAAUCUCCUGAUAAAAUUUACCUUGCCGAUCAAGGACUGGAGCUCAGUCUUGUUGGUAGGAGCAACUAUUUUGUUGAUAGCAUCAAUGGAUCUCUGACUAAUUUCAAUCCCCCUCUGAUGCACCAUGAAACCAAGGAACUGUCCUGCCGAUACACCAAAUGCACACUUGUUGGGAUUCAUCUUCAAACCAUGCUUCCUCGUACAUUCCAACACCUUUCUCAAAUUGGCAAGAUGCUUUGUGAAGUCUCCAGACUUAACCACCACAUCAUCAAUAUAAAUUUCCACCAGCUUGUCGAUGAACUCAUGAAAUAUAAAAUUCAUGGCUCUCUGAUAAGUAGCACCAGCAUUUUUCAAGCCAAAGGUCAUGACUAUCCAUUCAAACAACCCAACAUGACCAGGACAUCUAAAUGCAGUCUUUGGAAUAUCUUCUUCAGCCAUGAAUAUUUGAUUGUACCCUGCAUUGCCAUCCAUAAAGCUGAUAAUCCGAUGCCCAGCCACAGCAUCAACUAGCAGAUCGGCAACUGGCACUGGGUAGCCAUCCAUCGGUGUAGCUUUGUUAAGAUUUCUAAAAUCAAUGCAGACCCGAAGCUUCCCAUUCUUCUUAUAGACCGGAACAACGUUGGAAAUCCACUCGGCAUACCGACAUUGCCGAAUAAAUUUAGCUUCAAUAAGUUUGGUUAUUUUGGCCUUAAUAUCAGGAAGAAUACUAGGAUUAUAUCGGCGAGCUGGCUGUUGAUGUGGCCGAAAUCCAUACUUGAUAGGCAACCGAUGUUCAACAAUUGAUCAGUCCAAACCAGGCAUCUCAGUAUAAUCCCAAGCAAAGCAAUCUUUAUAUUUCUUUAACAAAUCAGUUAACUGUUGCUUACACUCAGAAUUUAAUUUGGCACUAAUAAAAGUAGGUCUAGGCUUGUCACCAACACCUAUGUCUACUUCUACCAAAUCAUCGGCCGAUGUGAACCCCUGGCCUAAUUUCCCAUCAUCGGCGAACCUAUCCAUUAAAAACCUUCAUCAGAACCGACUGCUUGGAUUGGUGGAAUUUUAUAAUCGGCAACCUUGAGAAAAUCCUUUUCCCAAACUUCUCCUGAAAUACACCUAGUUCUUUCUUAGGUGUCUGCCUCUGCCGAUGCAAUGACAUAGGAAGAAUCUCCCGGGACAAUCUCAAUCUUGUCACCUACCCACUGGACCAAGCACUGGUGCAUUGUAGACGAGAUGCAACAAUUGGCAUGAAUCCAAUCUCUUCCCAGCAACAAGUUAUAAGCACAUUUUCCACUAAUCACGAAGAAGGUUGCCGGCAAGGUUUUGCUGCCGAUGGUCAACUCAACGCAUAUUGCCCCCUUAACUGGAGACACGUUGCCCUCAAAGUCUUUGAGCAUCAUAUCGGUCUUGGUCAAAUCCUGAUCCCCUUUUCCAAGCUUCCGAUAUACUGUAUAUGGCAUGAUAUUGAUAGCAGCUCCACCAUCAAUUAAAACCUUGGUCAUUGGCUGACCAUCCACUCUUCCUUUGACAAACAGAGCUUUAAGAUGUUGCCUUUCAUCAUCGGCAGGCUUUUCAAAGAUAGCUGUCAUCGGAUCCAGAGCCAACUGAGCUAUCUGGUCGGAAAACUCCAACUCAUCAUCGCUGGACGGCGCAAGGAAUUCCAUCAGCAACAUAAAUACCAUGUUGACAUCUGCCGAUGGCCCUUUCCCCUUAGGAUCUGAUUGUUGAUCUCCAGGUUGGCCAGAGUUCUUGCCCUUGCUUAACUCCUCUCGCCUCUCGCGCUGCAGCCUUCUCUUUUGUGUCCUAGUUAACCCUUCUGGACACCAUGGAGGGAGUUGUUGCUGCUUUACCGAUGGGCAACGAUUUUCCCUUAACUCCAUCCGAUAAGUAUUGGCAUCCCUGCAAAAUAUGAACUCAUCGGGAACUCGAGCAUUAGCCAUCUCUUCAAGUUCUUCCUGGUUCCUAGGAAAAUAUUCAACACGAUCGCCAAGCCUGUCGUGCACACUGAGCCUGCCCCCCAGCCGAUCAUGAACAGACGCUCUCCCCCUAAUCGGCCCAUUAAAUCGCCGAUCAUCAUCAUGCUAGCGCCGAUCGGAUCUGUCAUACCGAUCAUAACCAUUGCACUCAGGUCAGUCUCUGACAGUAGGAAGCUUGAUGUUUUCCUCCCAACAAUGGAUGAAGAACAGACAAUUCCAGUGAUCCCUAUGCCGAUUCCACUCCCGUUGGCGUCUUUCUUCUUCCCGACGAUAGUCCUCUUUCUGGCGCCGAUACCGAUCCUCAUGUUGCUGCCAAGUCUCCCGAGGCCUUCUGUGAGUUAUCACAAUACUAGAUCGGGGAGGCCUUCCUGAGUUAGUUCCCUCCUGGAUCAAGCCCUUUCCUUUUGCAUCGGCAGUAGUGAUCUGAUGCUGAGGAUCCACCGAUGCACUUCUUUUAGCUGCUUCCGAUGUUAAGACCUUGGCCUUUCCUUUAGCAUCCAGCAUGUUUGUCGGGAAAGGAUGUUGAUCAAUUUUCAUCGGCUUUUGAGUUUUGGAGCUAUCAAAUUUGAUCCUCCCAGACUCUAUAGCCGAUUGCAGCACCUGUCUAAAAACUUUACACUCAUUGGUGCUGUGAGAAGUUGCAUUGUGCCAUUUACAGUACUUCAUCUUUUUUAACUCUUCAGCCGAUGGGAUUACAUGAUUGGGUGACAAUUUGAUCUGACCUUCCUGAAGUAGAAAGUCAAAUAUCCUAUCGGCUUUAGUGAUGUCAAACGCGAACUUCUCUAGCUCUUUAUGCCCAAAAGGACAAGACAUCGGCUUCUUAUUUUUCACCCAUUCUGCCAAGCCGAUGAUUGGUUCUUCAUCAGAGUCCGAGCUUGUCGCUUCAUCCACAAAUGAUACCUUUUUAUUCCAUGCUCUCUUGGGCUCAAAAGGCUUGAUAUCUUGAUCAGAAAUUCUCUGCACCAAAUGACUUAAGCUUCCGAACUCCUGAGAAGCAUAUUUGUCCCUGAUAUGUGGCAACAAACCCUGGAAAGCUAAAUCGACUAGCUACCGAUCGUCCAAAACCAAACUAUAACAUUUGUUCUUGACCUCCCGUAUCCUCUGCACAAAACUUUCAACCGAUUCAUCAUUGCGUUGCUUCGAUUUGACCAAAUCGGUGAUCUUCUUCUCAUGGACUCCAGAAAAGAAGUAUUUGUGGAAUUGUUUCUCUAGAUCGGCCCAAGGAAUCACUGAGUUGGGAGGUAGUGAUAUAAACCAAGUGAAAGCCGCUCCAGAUAGUGAUGACGAGAACAAGCGAACCCUUAACUCGUCCCUGUUAGCAGCUUCUCCGCACUGGAUGAUGAACCUAUUGACAUGCUCCAUGGUUGAUGUAUCAUCCUGCCCAGAAAAUUUAGUAAAAUCCGGCACUUUGUACCGAUUUGGAAGCGGGAUUAAAUCAUAUGCAGGGGGAUACGGUGUCCGAUAAGAAUAAGUAUUGACUUUGGGUUUUAUCCCAAACUGAUCUCUCAUUACUUCAGCAAUCUUAUCGGCCCAAUAAGCAUCGGCAUCUUGCCGAUGAGGCGGUUGUGGAUCUGGCACCUGCUGGUAAGCUUCCACAUGUCUGUGCGGUGCACGAUCUGCAUGGAACAUUGGGUUAACCAUCUGACCACCAACCUGCUGCCCACCAAUCUGUUGACCACCAAACUGCUACCCACUGAUCUGUUGACCACCAAACUGCUAACCAACAAACUGCUGUCCGCCAAUCUGCUGCCCAAGAUUCACUGGCUAGUUGGGCAACCCUUGAUUCUGGAAUCCGGGGUAGAUCUAGCCUUGUUGAAACCCUGUAGCCUGAUGAUUCUGUUGGAGCAUUUGCGGAAAGACUUGCUGCCCAAGCCAUCCGCUAUUAGCAUUCAUCGGCAUAGGUCCUGCCGAUGACUGGUAAUUGGGCAUCAUCAUUGAAUUGACAUACCCUGGCUGAGUCAUAAACCUCUGUUGCGUCGACAUUGAAUCUGCUGAUGCAUUAGGCAUCUGGAAAGUCGAAGCUUGAGAAUUCCUAGUGUAAGGUCUUGCAGUAGUAGUUGUAGUAUACUGGGGACUCUGGUUCAUCGACAUAUUUGGAGGUGCCGAUGCCAUAGGAGCCUUGCCUCUCAUAUCAGCUGCCUGAGAUGUGCUAGGUGUCUUCAACGAGUAUUCCGGGGGCAUACCGAAACCCCACCAAUUAGGAGGAACGGAUCCCGACAUUGCCGAUGCCAAUAGAUCUGUAGUAAGCUAGAUUGACUCAUCUGAUGUUGAUGGAUUGGACGGCAUCGGCGUGGAUUGGGCAUUAGAGACUCCUAUCGUGCUUGGAGGAACAGUAGUUUCUGUGUCUGCAGCGGCCGUAGCAGCCAAUGGAGCCGUAACCACUGGCGAUCCUGGCUGAUGAUAGACAGGGCCCACAUAAUUCGGUGGCAGUUGUCCUUCUUUGAAAGUUCUAGCCACGGCAUUGAAAAACGUAUUGGACAGCACACUAGCUUGGUUGAUCAAGGCACGGUUGAUAGCACUAUCGACCAUGUCUUGGAGUUUUCCAGGAUUGGCGUCAAAGGUAACCUACCGAGGUGCCGGCAGUGCUUCUUUCUGGAUUACUUCGCCACUCCUAUUGAUACUGAAAGACUUCAAACAUUGCUGCUUGUAGUCUUCCAUAGCCUUUGCAAUAGCCUGCUUCUGCUCAUCUUUGAGGCUAGCUUCUGUCACGGGGAUGACGUUCUCCAAGUCGAAUUCGGUAGUCGACAUGUUGAUCUUGAUCUUGACUCUGUCCCACCGGGCAUGCCAAAAGAUGUGUUGAUGCAAAAGCUAGAUCUGCAAACACAAAGGGCUAAUACCCGAUUUAAACGUUAAGGCGUGCCAGCCGAUUUGACCUUACUAUCGGCAAAGGUGAUAACUCGAAUACUUUGGUCCCGACAACAGCGAUGCGCCCGGAUGCCACGGCCAAGAGGUAUUCACGCGGAACUUGAGAAUACGCUAAGCUUAAGUCGACGAAUUCCUAAGAACUCGUAAUGAAAAAGAAAAUAUGACGAAGUCGUCAAAAAAGUAGAUGCUGGAAUAUGAGUAAAAGCUUGUGCUUGAUUGAUUGAUUGUUAUCUUUAUUACAAGGCCCUUGGGUCUACAUUUAUACCCUGCUCAAAGAGAUACAACCAGACACGACUAGAACUCGAAUUCCAAAUGAAACAGAAUCCGUAUACAAAACGAUUCAAAUAACUAAGGAAAACAUAAAACUAUCCUCUCGUGACAAACUGGGACACCACCACAGACCAAUCGGCAACCUUCAAGUCUUCCUCCCGCAUCAUCGGCAGGCUCUCCAUCGUAGCUAUCGACAAAGGUCAACACUGACUACCAGCAUAAACACAUCACCACCCAUGGACUUAGCCACAUUCAGCCGUCUCCUCAUCGGCAACCACCCUCAUCGGCAACUCUCCUGCAGACCAGUUACUGUUGCCCUGUCUUGCCGAUCUACACUCUACCGAUCCUGGGUACGUGUCCAAAAAACGGUGUCAACACGGACGCACACCACCGGACGUGCCUCCGCACUCAGCGUCCGAUGAGUGUUUCUCAGAGAGAAAACACUCCCGUGACUUCUCCAAAUUCCCCACCGACGCAAUAGAACCCACACCCCUCUCAACCGUAGGAAAAACCACCUCCUUUGCAAAUGUGCUAACACCAAUGAGUGUCCACCACCAAAGUGCAUGUGUGUUAGCUUUUCACAAAUAAUUUCACCAAAGGAGUUAAGUUAGCUCUCUACUAGAUCCUAAUGCAUAUGCUCAAGAUGUAGACCUAGUAGCACUUGAUUCGAGAGAUGACCGUGAUCUCCCCUCUUGAUAGUCGGCUAUCUAUCCUAAACCCGGUCAAUCACUUCUCUACUCAUCUUAGACCGGCAAAAGUAAAACCCUAGGUUUAUACCUUUGCCUUGAUAACUUUGCUCCUCGUCUAUCACCAUGAUCUUUACUUCAUGCUUCAUCCCUUUGUGAUCAUGUGGCCACCUUUCCAUGCCACCAUGCACCUUCAUCACAUGUGUUGCUAUGCCUAACUCAAAUUACUCAAACAGAAGGCAUUAGCAACUUGGUGUCAUUAAUUACCAAAACCAAACUUGGGCUUUCAAUGGUAAAGAGGGAAUUUUCUUAAGAAGUUGUUUGCCAUGUCUGUUAUUUUUAGUUAAGAGGAGAAAUUCCUCUUUCUGUUCUUCAUGUGUCUCCACAUGAAGUCCAUUUUUCCUAAUGUCUCUAUAGCUAAGUAAGGUAAGAGUUGAAUCGGGAUACAGUAAUGCAUCCUCGAUUGUAAGUUGAGUACCCAUGGGAAGUGUAAUUGUGGCAUGACUAGAGCCUACUAUUGUUGCAUCGCGUCCAGUGAUUGUUAGAACAUUUCCUUGUCUCUUAGUUAGAGUUUGAAAAUAUUUAGUUUCCCUUAGUAUAGAAUUUGUAGUACUGCUAUCUACAAGGCACAUUUCCUCCGCCAUUGGAUUUAUCCCAUAGAAAUCUUCUCGAUGGAACUUCUCUCCCUGUCGAUCUUAGAGCAUGCUGAUAACAUGUCUAAAAGCAAUGGUAAUCAAGAGAGAAAGAAUGAAUCAAACUAUGUAUUCCAUUGAUUGACUUUGAUAUUUAUACAGAAUAAAUGGACGCCAUGGGAGUUGGAGACGUCUGUUCGGGGAACGCGGAUACGCGGCCACAACGGAUAUCCCUCCUGGCGAAGUCGGUUCCAACACUAUGCCGGUUCCUAUCGGUGGAGUAGUCCGUACGGAAACUACCGUUUACAAGGAGAUUUACAAUUGAUCCGUAGGAUUAGAUUCUUUGGUUAAGAUUAGUACAUGUCAUUGAUCCUUGUGGAUGAGAUCCUCUAAUCCUAUUGGUCUAUCUCCUGUUGCCACGGAUUGCUUCUUAACAGUUAACACACACGACCGCAUAGGAAGACAGCAAGCAACUUCGGUAAAUUGGAGUAUAUUUUUUGUUUUUGUGUGCGUGCAUGUGCGGUGGUUGGGUCUGAUGGGGAUAGAAGGUCAGAGAUGUCCUUGAUUUUUGUGCGUGUGCUUGGACUAGGACAAUGUAAAGAACGGUGAUGAGUUCAACCGCAUGACUAAGCGGUCGUUUAGCGAUGACGUGGCCCACGGAGGUAACAUUUUUUUGAUCAGGGCUGAAUUAGACUUUACUCUUUGGCGAAUUGCCAGAUACAAGGUUCACUAUAUAUAAAGACAUGUGGCUCAUUAACACAUCUGAGCCAGACUCCAACACAUAAGCUCCAUGGACAGCUAAAGCAUCUGCCACCUUAUUACAUGAUCUAUUACAGAAAGAGAUAUCACAAAAAGAAAACUCUGCUUGCAUAAUAUCUUGUAUCUAAAUUACUAGAGCACCAAUAAUGCUUUGAUCUAAAUUUAUCGAUUUGAGAGCAUUAGCAAGCACUAUAAUCCAUCUCCAAGAUAAUUCUUGACAUUCCUAAUUGAGCUGCAUGGAGGACACUCUUGUAGGCCGCAAUUUGCUUCAGUAUGCAAAGCUAAAGAAGUAUAAGAAUUGUUCCCAACCUAGCUACAAGCACCUCUCCAUUCAUGUUCCUCACCAAAAAUCCAUAGCCUCCAAUUCUCUUAUUCGGAUAAAAAAACCAUCAGAAUUGAUCUUACAUAUAUCAUCCUGUGGAGGAUUCCAUGAACAUCCAACUACAGCGGGUAUCACUUUCCUUUCAAGAUUAUGUAACUUUUUUCAAAUUCCAUUAGAUAGAAUGAUAUAGAGCCACAAACCUCAGUUGCAUUCGCCAUUCUUCCACCAUCAUUUACUAUGUUUCUUGCUGACCACCAUCUCCAAAGAAAGACAAAAAUUUGUAUUUGAUUGUUCAUUUCUAAUUCCUAAAUCUUAUUAGUUACUUCUAUUCCUGAUUGGCAAUUCACCAGCUUAGAUCUUAUAUCCUCCAUAUUCAAAAGACACCAACACAUAUUUACAUGCUUACAUUUGAAGCAGAUGUGCCCACAAUCUUCGUCUAGCCUUCUACAAAUGGACAAAGGUAUAUACUUUCAUCCCGCGUAUGGCCAAAUUUCUUCGAACAGGGAGGCUAUUAUGUGCAAAAUUCCAUAUGAACAUUUUAACUUUGUUAGGAACUUUGAUUUGCCAAAUCUUAAUCCACUAUAAUUCAUUCCCACAUCUACCAGCACAACCAGAACUAGAAGCAUCCCUUCCUAUAAGAGCAUCUUUUUUUUGCACAAAAGCCUCCUUUGGAUCAAAAUGCCAUGCAUGCAAGUCCUCUAUAUCCACAUUAAUUGGAAUUCAUCAGAUCUCAGCAGCAUCCUCAGGCCAAAAAAUAUCAGAAAUUAAUUGCUCAUCUCAUUCACCUGUUGUUGGAUUGAUAAGCUCACUAACUCUAGUAAGUAAACAUGACCUCCUAGGUGUAGCUGAUUUUCUUGUUGUACAUCAAGGUAUCUGUAAUAGAACCGUCCAAGUUAUAAGAGAUUAAGUCUAAUAGUGACCACUUUCACAGUCAAACCGUCGAACUUAAGUCCAUAUAAUCCUAAAAGUCCAUGAAAUCUCGAAGGAUCUCAAACUUUCCACGUACAUAGCCAAUAUCGUAAUAAGUUUAGAGGUCGUUGUUCAUACAUUACAUAACGUUUGCAAACAUUCCAGUUACAUUGGAGUUCAAGUAAAGUUAUUACAAACCAAGUCUUGAAAGUAGCAGCUAAAGUGAUUAGUUUUUUGAAACACACAUGCUUAGUUCAAGUACAGUGCCAGAGUCUGAUCAAUCUCACAAUAGCAAAAGAUAAGAUAGAGUGACCACGCCCUUUGGUCUAAGCAUCUCCCACAGUUGGGUAGAGGUAAUUAAUGCAGCACCCAAAGUACAUCUACCCAUCUACAAAAAACAUGGGAAUAGAGCCCUGAGUACAAGAAUAUACUCAGCUAAACUUACCCAUCAUAAACCAGAAACAAUUAACUCCAAGGAUCAUGUAAGGCUUUAUGGUGGGCUAUCUCGACACAAACAUUCCAUAAAAGUUUAAGUCACUAAGUAAGUAACCUUUCAGUUAUUUAGCUCAAGUUAAGUAUUAUUAACCUUCCAUCUAGAUUAGCACCUGUACUAUAGCAAUCACUUGAUUCACAUAAUAGUACCAAAAUAGUGUACCUUUUCUAGCCUCAUCAACAUACCUUAACCAUCCAGUGUUCCAUAAGCAUUACUACAAUGACGAAGCUCAAGUCAUGUGCUCACUAUCCAAGAGCGAUGGCGAUUUGAAUCGAUUCCUAACCAACUGGUGAUUUAUUCCCCACACAAACCACACUCACUGAUCAAGUGUGCUAUAGGUCACCGAAUGCACUAUUCAAUGCACUAUUCAGGACUAAGUUGCAGGUUCGACAGGCACCAUCGCACUUUGGGACCGUUUUGGUGACCAAAGUAUCCAAGGCAUAACAAGGUUGCAAGCCGUGCCCCCGUCAGUCUCCUCAUCCAUCUCUAAUACAAUGCAUGGAUCAGAUCGAUUCCUAGCCCGAAUAGUGUCCUGGCUUCAUGGUCGAAACUGUAGAUCUACAAACAUGACAUGCAAGCAUACCAAACUGUAGAUCUACAAAUAUAGAGUAUAGCAAAAUUUGUUUCAUCAUUUUUGGAUCUAUUUUUUCAUGUCAUGGAUUUUACAAGCUUCAAACCAUUCUAUGAAAAAAAUUCUUUUAAAACUAAAAUUUAAAUCCAGCGAGUUCAGCUAGGUGCACCUGGUGCAGUGCACCCGCAGCUGUAGGCAGGGAUAGACAGGUGGAUACCCAGCAUGCUCCCCCUCUGUGAGUGUUGGUAUUAAUUACGCACUACAGAAGAAUCAAAGAAAUAAUCUGCAAGCGCACAGGUAUACCAAUGUAGCACUUCACCCGGGAAAAGAUAUCUCGAGUAUUGUAUUUGUUUAUCCACAAGGAGAAAGGUCACUACGACUAACUAGGAACUAAAAUUAACCCCUGAGUAUCAAACAAAGGAACUAAAGGGCUAUAGAGAAGACAUCCAUGGAUCUUUGUUCCAACCUAUGGUAAGUUAUGAUACUAGUGUUCCAGAGGAGACAAACUAGGCCAAAGUACUUGCAAAGAGUACUCUAAUCUAGCUUAUAUGUCUUUCCAGUCCUACUAGCAUGAUAGGAAGAUAUAAAAUCUAUGGGACGAUUGGGUCACUCCCCAUGAACUAUCCUUGCCUGGCCAAUAAGGGGAUAUCUACGUGCAAUUGUGUCUAAACACCGCGUCUACACACGACAUGCAACUACAAUCCAAGAGCAACCAAGAAUUGCAGUACUCUAAUGAGUCGCAAACCAAAGAGCAAUAAUAACAAUGACUUACUAGUAUUAGAUGUUGAACACCAGAAGAAUCUUAGAACAACUUAUAAUGAAAUUGCUCUGCAGGUAUAAGCCGAGGAAGGAGACACUAACAGAUCGGAGAGCUUCCUCCACAACUCUUCCCUCCACUCUAUCUCUCUCUAAUUCUAUAAGAUCUGACCCUAAUCUCUCUAGAAGACUACAAGGCUAGUCUACUCUUGAAUGCUUGGCUCGAAUCCUUGGUGGAAGAUAACGAAUUAGGGUUUCCAGGAUUGCAUCUUCCAAGGGGUAGGGCCCUCCUUAUAUAGGUCAAUGGGAUGAACCAUAGCCCUUGGAUCAAACUGACUUAAUGGACGAAGAUCCUUGCUCCUCAAAGGCGGUUAGAGCAGAAUCCAUGAGAUUGCACCUAAUUGGUGGAGAGGCCAGGGCGGCCGCCCCCUUUGGGCGCCCUGGGCCCACCUCCUCUCAUGUUCUGCUUUGUUCUGGUGGAUUCCUGAAUCUUCUAGAUCCUUCUUUUGUAUACGUGGCAUAAAUAUCUCGUUUCUCUCUAUGUAAUCAUGACGUGGGCCUCCAAGGGUCAUUUCUUGAUCACCCCCUUGUAGAAAUAGAUAUUCACCAAAACUCAUGAAAUUAUGUUAGAUAAAACCCUAGAGCUAUGUUUGGUGAUUCUUAUUGCAUCUUUUGAAGUCUUGUUGUCUAAUAAAAUUAGGAGCUAUCUACCGCCAACAAGCUCCCCCACACUUAGGCUUUUACUCGUCUCGAGAAAAGGAUGGAUCAUCAAAGGCAUAAUCUUUCAGAUAAGACAUCAACACUAGAUAUUUCCAUAGUCAUACCUGCUCUGUGGGAUUCAAAGUAUCCAUAGCACUUUAGGCGGUUGGAGAGUGGAACAGGUUGAACUAGAGCCUUCCUUCAUCUUUAAGUCCUAUCGCUUUAGAGUUUUUGAUAAAUUUUGAAAACAAAACAUAGCUUACCUCCUCCUUCAUGUGGUGCACUCGAGUCACUCAUGAUAUGUAAUAUUUGUGGAUCCUCACUGAGGCAUGUAUGAUGAAUGCCUGGUAACAUCCGACUCUAAUAAAGCUUAUGUGGAGUUUAAGGUAAUUCAAGGAUGUAGCAUACUUACGUUGUAUAUGUUGCUCAAUCAAAGCUCAGAUCCGAGAAGGGGGAUGUCAUACUCUUAGAUCAACAUGUGCAUGUGUGAGGAGUUAUUUGGUGGCUAACCUAAUUCUACUUUGCUCAUUGAAUGAAUUCUCUCUUUCUCAAAACAAUGAAGAACUUUGCAAAGCGUAGAGACCAUGGACUAUCAACUCUUUUUGUAUUUUUCUUUUUCUUUUUUUAACAUUAGACACUUGUCCAUUUUUUCAAUACUUUUGCAUAGUCCAUGUCUCAUGCCUGCAUUUUUACAAACUUGAGAGAAAUAAAUGUAGAGCAAUUUAUUCAAUGUCCUAAAUUUCUUUUUGUCCUAUCCUAAGUAGAGUAGAAUAUUGGGUGUAAGGCAUGUUUUUGCGUACUCCCAGUGUAGGAGCAGCAGAUAUGUGUGGAGUGUUAGUGAUCUUGAUCUUGGGAGCAUGACAAACCUCUCAACAAGAGCCACAAGACUUGAUUAAACUCAAUACAAAAGCAAGUAGCUUAUAUGUAGGUUGUGAUUUUUAAUAAAGCUCUACUAGGCAUUUUCAAACCACAGAGGAGAAGCAUAGCUAUCAUUUUAACAUUUUUGAAAAGAAUUCUCCAAAUGACAUUACUUUAAGAAUCAGGCUUCUCAUUGUUCUACUUAUCUCACACUCUUCAACAACUUAAGUGUUAUAGGGUCCCUAAUUAAAAGUUCCCAACAGAUGCAAGAUUUCUAGGAUAAUCAUGGUGUGAGUCUAUCUUGGGAUUAUGACUAAGAUAAUGUACCUCUCACUUAUUUUUAAUUGGUUUUAUUAAAUGAUUUUUUAAUGUGAAUCAAAACUGAACAUGACAGAUGAAAAUAUGUACCAAAUAAGUUGCAAACCUGACCACGGACGAAGUUGGGUGAGUCUGGUAGCUGGGCCAAGAUGGGCGCCCCCUUUGGCCGCCCUACCUAGGCCACCUCCCGAGCUCCGCUUCAUCAUGCGUGAUCUCUGCGUCAUUUCCGGUCCGUAUCUUUGAUAAAGUGGUUGGUUUCAUUGCGGGACGUUCUACCACACUUGUUUUCUGUUAUCCUUUAUUCACAACAUGGUGGAGACAAAAAAAAAUAUCCAAGAAACAAUAAUAAUGAAACAAACUUUGUUUAUUCAAUGAGGUGCACUUUAUUAUAUUUUGAAAAACAACUAAUUUAAAAGGGAAAUCAACUAAUCAAAAUUGUGGGUGUGCACCCUACGAUCGCGGUUCCUAGCCCCUCCUAAGGAUGUCGAUAUGAGUCCCAUCCUCUUGCGUGUAGUGUCUAAUUCAUCUACCCUCGCAUUGGUGGUCAGAACGGUUCUUCCUAAGAUCUGAUGGUUCUUUUCUACCGAGUCUACCACAGUGUGGAGGUGAGCUAUCUCUGUCUCUAGGUCCGCUACAGUGCUACGACGACGAGGUGGACCUUCGCUGAGCAUCUUCUUUUUUGGGGCUUCCUCGGGAGGAAUGAACUUCACUUUUGAGGGAUGAGCACGAACGCCCUCGAAAGAUGGACGAGGCUUUUCUGUGGUGUACUUGGCGCAGACAAUCUCACCAAGGCAGUUUCUCUUUACACCCACCAGCGUCUCAUUGGGCUUCGGUGGGAGCAACUUGGUGUCCACUAGGAGCUUCACAAUGGGUCCCUUCGGUGGAGCACCUUCUAGAAAUAGAGGUUGAGGUGGAGCAGGGAGAGCAGCACAAGUGUAGAAGACAUGCUUCGUAGGAGGGAUGGAGGCUAGAGGCACGACGUCUAUCACCGGGACGAUGGCCUUCGAGUCAUUAGUCGGAAUCUUGUCAAAGUUGGUUCCAUAGGGAACCAUCCUCAUCUUGGUCUCAUUGCUCUCACGAUUGUUGCUGGUGGCCAUUGGAGAAUGCUAAGCUUCUAAAGAGGAAGAGAAAGAGAUCUAGAUUGAAUGAGGAUGAAGGCUAGCAUGGGUUGUUUAUAUAGGCCUUGGUGACUUGCAUCUAGGGUCAAGCAUGGGAGAAAAUGAUCUUAACGCGAAGAAAUCUUGCGAAAUGAUCAGGAUUAUGGUUUAUCGGGAUGAAGAUGUUGGAAUAUUCAAGAAGGCAAAAGGCGGUGGCAGAUUGCCACUAGGCCGGGGCAGCGGCCCUCUCCAGGCGCCUUCCCCCUGGCUCGCCUCGUGAAUGACUUUUUGUUUUGAUUUUAUUCCAUAUUUAUCUAACUGAAAAACAAAUAAAUGAUCAUGAAUCUUAAAGGAAAAGGUCAGAGGCUAAAAUCUAGGAAUGAAAAGGAUUUAAUAUCUAGGAAUUAAAAGAAAUCAAUUAUAUCUAUUUCAUUUAAAUUCUCAUUAGGCUCUAAGAACAAUUUAAGGCGCUAACCAUUUACCUUGAAAAGUGUACCUUCAUCAUUUUGAAGUGUCACUGCUCCAUGUGAUGAUGAGCUCACCACCUUGUACGGUCUUUCCCAUUUGCUUUGAAGUUUCCGAAUCUGAAAAGCUUCACCCUAGAAUUAAAAAGUAAUACCUUGUCUCCUAGGGUGAACUCCGUCUUCUUAAUCCUCUUGUCAUGCCAUCUCUUGGUCCUUGUUGGGUAUUCUUAACAUCAUUACCAAAAGUAGACUAAGUUCUCUAAAUCUAGUAACGGUGCCAAAAAUGCCAAACCUAUCCCUCACACCACUUAAGCCAAGUUGUCAUCCCCAGCAUGAUAUAAGAGACGCGGUAUUGAAAUAUGCAUUCUAAAUAAAUAAUGAAUGGGAUCUGCAAGCGCACAAAUUAAUACCGAUGUAGCAUUUUAACCGGGAAGUAUUCCAGGUAUCGUUAUUUAUAUUUUUACCACUGGGAAGGGAUUAGCAAUCAUCACUAUUGAUUACAGAAUAGAAUAUGAGAUUGAGCAUCUAUCAUUGCAUGUAUAAUUGAGAACAUUUAUCUAACUCUUCAUAUAGGGAUAAGUGUCACAUAAAAGAUAUAUGAAGUAAUAAUAGUGACAAGGAUAACUAAUCUGAUCUAGCCACAUAAUAAAUAUGAUAAGCACCUCAAUUAGAUACUCUAGAAAGUCAUUAGCAUGGUAUUAGAACGAACUACAAGAAUAUUCCCUAAGUUAUUCUCAACUAUAUAGUCUAGCAUAUCAUAGUUAGUGCAAGCAUACUUAGCAAUAAUUGCGAGACAAGACUACGCCCAUGCAUAGUGAUAUUAGCAAGGUAAAUGAGAAACAUAGCAAUCACUCCCCUGUAAUAAUGUUGCUCUGCCAGCCCAAUACACGAGAGGGGGACUAUAUAAGAAUCAAUGAAGCUGUCACUAUCACGAACCACCCCACGAUCUGGCAUAUUGGGUACAAUCGCAGAUAAAUACGGUAUAAGCACCACGCCUACACAAUAUCUAUCAUUUACCCAUGGAUCCGAUGGAUAAACACUAUACGAUCCUAAGCAUGUAUAUAGAUUGAAUCUAACUAAGCCAAGUACAUAACUAUGAUAAACUAAGAACAAUAUAAUCUUGAAUAUAAGCAAGUAGAGCAAAGUCAUAAGCAAUAUAUUGAAGUAGAACAAAGUCAUAUUCAUAAUAUUGAAGAACACAGAUAAUUAGAAAGUAAUUAGAAGCACAAUUAGAGAAUUACCAAGAAUCCUCUUGACAGAUCCGGAAACCAAUCGAAGAUUGACUCCUUCUAGUUCUAAUCCUAUGUAGCUAUGCUAAUCUAGAUAUCUAAUUGAUGUGGUGGCUCUAAUCUUGAUCAGAGGCUUCUUCUCCCUUGAGGAACAAUGAAUUAGGGUUGAGAGGCUCUCUCCUCCAGGGGCCAGGGGGUCUAGUUUUAUAGUCCCUCCAAGUGAAUAUGGGCCAUUGGAUCAAACCGACAUAGAUUGUAUGGUUUAGAUUCAUCCUUUAGGUCGGUGGAGAUCUCCCACGAAGCAGAGUCCUGAUUGGACUUAGGGAGGGGACGGGCGCCCAGGGCAGGAGGGCGGGCGCCCUGCCUCUGGCCCCGUUUCGCCUCCGCUUCGGUCUCGUGGCUUCUGGAGUGUUCUAGAUGUAAGAUAAUUGCGCGGCACGUUAAUAUCUCUAUGUAAUCCCGACAUGUGGGCCUUUCUUUCGUAUUUCCUGAUAACCCCCUGCAGAAAUAGACAAACACCAAAACUCGUGGAAUUCUGUCAGAUAAAACCCUAAGUUUGGAUCUUGAUUUCAUUUGGAUCCUUUUCUUUAUUUAUUUGAUAAUUAAAUUUGAUACUUAAGGACCGUCAAUAAACUCCCCAAGCUUACCUCUUGCUCGUCCCUGAGCAAGGAUAGACUCAGCUAUGGAUCAUAAGUUGUUACAAUAUCUUUUAAAAUUGACGGUACACAUGCUUUUUAAAUAAGAUCUCAUCUCUGAGUUAGAGUAAACUGUCAAGACUUAAAACUUACAUACUUUACCUUCACCAUGGGACUUGUAACCGUCACUUCUGUCUUGAGUGGUUAAAAGAUAGAACAGUCUAGCCAAGUGCCAUGUCUCUUAUUCUUGAUCAGCUAUAGCUCUGGGGUUUUUGCAGAUUUUCAAAUAAAACUCAGAAAUUCCUUGUAUGACUCUCUCAGAUCUCUCUUUUGUGGUAUCUCUGGAUCCUUACCAAGGCAGUGAUGGUAUAUGCCUUCUCUCAAGAUAUGUAGUAUUUCUGGUACAAAGCAUAAUGACAUUGUCUUCUCUCUCACCCUACUCUAAUAAGGCUUUUAUAUCUAGAGCUCAUAGGUGGGAGAUAAAGUAUACAUACUUACAAGACAUUUAUUGUAUAGUCAAACCAUGGAUCCAAAGAAACAAAUCAAUAAGCCAAAUCAAGAUGUGCAUGUGUGGCGAAUGAAUGGUGUAUGGUGAUGAUGGUGAUAACAAUGGUGGUGGAAGUCUAAUUCUACUUUUGCUCUUUGAGGGAAUACAUACCUUCCUUGCUUUUUGAAACUUUGUGAGGAGAAUGAGAUGCUCUUCUUUUUCUUUUCUCUCAGGUGGGUAUCUUGUACCCCUAAUUCUACUGUCGGACACUUGUCCAUUUUUACCUCUCGUCUCACUUUUUCUUUUCUUUUGAGGUUCCGAGCACUUGCUCCUUUUUAUUUCCUCGUAUUAUAUUUUUUUAGAGCACUCAUCUCUUGAGAUAAUAUAGCAAGUGGUAGUAACAAGAUAACUUGAGCAUUUAUUUCACAAGGGAAAAACAGAGAUAUUUUUGGCUAUUCUCUCCCGGAUUAGGAGUAGAAUAUUUUUGGGUGAUUCUGGAGAUGGAAAUGGAUGGAUAUAUGUGGAUGGUACUUCCGGAGUAGAAGUAGCAUAUAUGAGUGAACGUGCAAGUGAAAUCUUGAUUUAACCACAUGACAAGCUCCUAAGGGUCUACACAGCUUGACCACACUCAAUGCUCAUAAGCAGUAAAUAUUAAAUGUGUGGCUCAAAGUCUAGCAAGCAUGUAUAUAUGGCUGUGGUAGGAAUUUAAACUCUCAUCAUACAGGAACUCAUCAUGCAACAUUUUAAAGAUUUUUAAGAUAAAAUUCUCUAGAAUUCUAGCAUCUCUAGGAACAGAUAAACAACAGCUCAACCUUCCCAUAUCAUAUCCGUUAACAACUUAGACUUCAGAUCAAGUUUUCAUCCCACAAGUUUAGAUCUAGAGCAAGCUUUAAAUUAUAACAGUUAUGUCCAAACUUGGGAGAGAACUUCAAAUUUGCAAAUUAGGCAGAGCAACUAUUUAUCAUAUCCAUGCUUAAGUUUUAUUUAGAUAUAGAUUAGCAUAGCCACUUUAUUUAUUUAUCAAUCACACUAAGCAAAAGACAUAUAUAUAUAUAUAUAAGCACAAACUCUUUAUUUGGUUUUCCAUAGUUUAUGUGUAUUUAUAUUCUAAAAUAAUAUAAGUAUAAAGAUAGAUAGAAAUACUUAUCGAGAUAAAUGGGGGUGCUCUCCCCUAAGCUGAAUUUUGACGUAAUUUCUCUUGAUGUAGCUAGCAGGUGGCAGAGGUGUAUUUGAAAGUCAGCAGCAUUGUGACAGCGAUUAGAAUGUCCUCCGUCUGCCAGUCUUCUUGAUUCUUAAAUUCUGUGGAGUUCAAAUAGACAACAAAGCUUGUGGAACUGGUUAAGUGUUAGCAUAAAUAUCUAGCCUUUAUCAUGUUGAGACUCCUUAAUAAAUUUUACUCCCUAUUUUUAUAUUUUUAUUUUUAUAGAGCAGAAAAAUAAUUAUUUUAUUUCUAUGCCACCACAGUGAAUGUACUUAUGGGUUUUAUGCCUCUCGUCUACUCACAUGGGGCUUACUGUUUUUCACAUUUUUAUUUUCUUUUUAAGAUAGUAUGAACUUAAUUAACUAAGUAAACUAUUUAAAAUAAUUGAAAGGGAAAGGAUAACUACUAAGUUUACCUCUUGGCAAGGCGUUCGGUGUUUUUUAAGUCCUCCGAACGGGACUCUCCAUUUUCUUAAUCAUCCUGAGGUUCGUUGGGUGGCGAAGUCGGUACUUCCGGCAGCGCCUCCUCUUCAUGUAUAGUUAUCUUCAUUUUCCAUACCUGACUCGGUGCUUUAGUCUCCUCUGGAUAAUUCUGUUUAAACUCAACGUCUUCUGAUCUUAUCAGUUCUCCUUCGUAGUCUGCCCAUCCGUCCUUGAUGAUCUGCCUCCUCUGGUUGCGGUUGCGUCGCUUUCUUACCUGCUUAGAUUCUUCAACGAUAUAGUUAGGGUCAGUAAAAUAACGACAUACCUUCUCUGAGGGGAAGUGCAUAUGGACUUCUCCGGUUCUAAUGUAGAUAAUUGCUUUAACGGUGCUGAGGAACGGUCUUCCAAGGAUGAUGGGUGGAUCAUACUCGUCUUCUCCCAUGUCAAUAACUUGAAAGUCUGUGUAGACAAAGUGAUCGUCUAUUUUGACUGGGACAUCAGUUACUAUUCCUUUAACUUCUCAAAAUGUCUGAUCUGCCAUCUAGAGUUGAAUGUACGUUGGUCUUAGUGGCAUGGUUCCGAACAAGAGCUGAUAGGUGACUGCGGCCUUUAUGUUGACGCCCGAUCCGGUGUCACAAAACGUCUUGUAGAAGUUGUAUCCAUUUAUGGAGCAGUAAAUGCUUGGCAUUCCUGGGUCGUCCUUCUUGGUCAAAAGCGGUGACUUAAGUUGGUGAUCUUGGCCUCCAUGAACUACAGUGACCAUCUUAGCUGACUCGGUCCACACUUGCUUGUUCCUGUUCCUCCUGUUGGUCCUCUUUCUUGAUUCAUGUCUGGAUUGAUCUGGAAUUUGUGUAGUCUUGUUCUUGAAGAAAAAUGUCUCCUUCCUCCCUUUGACAUAGAAACUGAUAGGCCUCCCUAGGAAGAAAAAAUAGCUCCCGUGGUGUUCAAGAAUGGCCUCCCUAGGAUGAUAGGUGCUCUCUCAUCAUUUCCGGUCUCUACCACUACGAAGUCUGCUGGGGCAUAUAAGGUACCAACUCGGACGCAAAGGUUCUUCAAUAUUCCUUUUGGAAAAGUUAUCGUCUGAUCUGCAAACUGCAAACACAUGGUUGUUUCUAAUAAAGGAUAUGUAAAGAAUUUUUCAUAGAGUACCCUGGGUAUAAUGUUGACGCUGGAGCCAAAGUCGCAGAGUGCUUCUGGAACGUCCACCAUGCCAAUGGAGAUCGGGAUGACGGGGCGUCCUGGAUCGCCUCUCUUGACCGGCAGAAGGUCAGUAGAGAAUUCAGUGACGGGGUUACUCCAAUUACCUGCAUCAAACAUGUCUACAAGAUUUGCAGAUUCUAAUCCUUCCGGUUGUGAUGGUAUACCGGGGUUAGUAGUAGGAACAGCAGCAGCUAUUUGAUUUAACUGAGAUUCAAUCAUUUUAUUAAAGCUAAUUUGAUUCUUGAUGGCAAUAGAGAAAUUAUCCAUUCUAUUAUUUAUAUUUUCUAGCAUUUUAUCAUUAGAUGCCAAUUUCUUAGAUAGGUUAUCCAUUAGCUUUCCUUGAUUAGACACUAACUCUCUCAAAGGUGGAAAAUUACUAUUAUUGUUGUAAGAAUUGUUACCUUGAUAAUUACCUGAGUAGUUAGGCCUCUGUUGAUUCCAACCUUGAUUUUGUUGAGGACGGUUGUAGUAGUUGUUGUUAUUGUUGAUGUAGUUCACAUCCUCAAGUAUCUCAGGGCAGUGAUUGCCUGAGUGUCUAGUGUCUCCACACUCCUCACAAGUCAUGUGAGAGUCGUAGAUGUGCAUAACUUCUUUCUUGUCUCCAGCUCUAUCCUCAAGCUUCUUCAUGAGCAGGUCUAGCUUUUUAGACAGCAUGUCUACCUCCUUGAGCUGAUGCAUACCUCCACCUCUCUUGCGUGUCUGGGUCCUCUCUUCAUUCCAGCUUUGGUUGGACGCCAUCUUCUCCACAAGAGCUGUGGCUUGUGGUAUAGUAAGUGAUAAGAAUGCUCCUCCGGCUGCAGCAUCCAUGGUUUCUCGGGCACUGUUGCCGAGCCCAUGAUAAAAUGUCUGCAUCAAUAACCAACUCUCCAUUCCAUGAUGGGGACAUUCUAGGAUGUAGUCUUGAAAGCGCUCCCAUGCUUCUGGAAUAGAUUCAUCAUUUUGUUGCUGAAAACUUGUAAUCUUCCCACGGAGAGCAUUGGUCUUGCCCAUGGGAAAGAACUUUGCCAGGAAGUUUGUUGAGCAGAGUGCCCACGUAGUAUUCUUCUCCUUUGUAGCGUAGAACCACUGCUUCGCUCUUCCUAACAGUGAGAAUGGGAAGAGGCGAAGUAGUAUAGCAUCUCUGGAAACUCCUGAUAUGGUGAAUGUGUUGCAAAUCUCCAGGAAGUGUUGUAAAUGAGCACUAGCAAAUUCGUGUGCCUUCACACAGAACUGGUUGGAUUGCACCAUGUUGAUAAGUCCAGGCUUGAGCUCAAAGUUGCCAUCGAUCUCUACAGCAGGUCCAGUGCGGAUGUUGUCCGUAGUGGGAGCUGAGAAUUUGCGGAUUGAUUUGUUCGCCAUGGCUUCGAACUCUGAAGACAAGUUUCGGUGAUCUUCUUGAUUGGAUGAAGCUUCUUGCUGAAGUGUUGAUGAUCUCUUCUUGAGCUUUGCUCUCGUCUUCUUGAAUAAUGCUUCGGGAUUGUCAACAAAAUUUCCUGGAAGAUGUCUUCUAUUCAUACAUUCCCCUGCGUAAGAUAAAAUAGAAAAAUAUCGGGGUAAAACUGUAUGAGAGAAUAGAUAAGCUCAAUCAUAUUAGUGAUGCGAAUGAUAACUCAAAAUCUUUUAUUCUAUUCCUGAUUAUUAAUCAACCUUCCCCGGCAACGGCGCCAAAAAUGCUUGUUGGGUAUUCUUAACAUCAUUACCAAAAGUAGACUAAGUUCUCUAAAUCUAGUAACGGUGCCAAAAAUGCCAAACCUAUCCCUCACACCACUUAAGCCAAGUUGUCAUCGCCAGCAUGAUAUAAGAGACGCGGUAUUGAAAUAUGCAAUUGCUCUUCUAAAUAAAUAAUGAAUGGGAUCUGCAAGCGCACAGAUUAAUACCGAUGUAGCAUUUUAAUCGGGAAGUAUUCCAGGUAUCGUUAUUUAUAUUUUUACCACUGGGAAGGGAUUAGCAAUCAUCACUAUUGAUUACAGAAUAGAAUAUGAGAUUGAGCAUCUAUCAUUGCAUGUAUAAUUGAGAACAUUUAUCUAACUCUUUGUCACAGAACCGACCAAACUAUAAGAGUUCAAGUGCAGAAACGAUCGCCAAGCAAUCAAGUUUCUAAACUUGAGCCCAUAUAAUCCCGGUAGUCAAUCGAAAUCACGAAGGACUUCAAACCAACUCGCAACAAACCAAGAUCGUAAUAGUUCAACAUAAACACAGCGGAUGUUACAUAGUCAUUCAUUGCCGGUGAAGCGGCACCACAUCGGAGUCAUUAAGUUAUUACAACCCAAGUUCGAAGUAGCGGAAGCAAAAUAGUUACACACACUUGUUCAAAGUUCAGUCCACAAGUUUUUAUUACUGCCAGAGUCUAUGCCAUCCUUCCAAAAGCAUCAGAGACGAGAUUGUUAGAGAACCAUGCCCAACGGUUAGUCCUCAUCCCCAGCGGGAUGGAGACAGGUCUUGCAGAAACCGUCAUAGAAGAUGUCAUCUGCAACAGGUGGGAAUAAACCCUGAGUACGAGAAUGUACUCAGCUAGACUUACCCGUCUAGUAAAACAUAAAAGACACCAAGGAUCAUGCAAGGCUACAUAUCAAGUGGAGCUGGUUGACUCACUUUUUGCUAAAAGCUUAAAUUGAAUUAUUUCGAGAGCAUCAUAUUUAUUUAUCAUCAGCCUACCACUAGAUUAGCACCUGUACUACAGCACAUCACUUGAUUAUUACAAUCAAUAAUAACCAUAUCAAAUUCAUCAUAUGUUCUUCCUGCUAUCAUCCUUUUCAUGAACCAAGUUCAUUAGUGACGGCUACGUUUGCCGCUGCUCUGUCAAGUUCUCACUAACCGGGAGAGACGGCGAUUUGAAUCGAAUUCCUAUCCAGCUGGAGGGUUAUUCCUAGCACUCACCCAAGCAUCCCCUGCCGGAGAGCCAACGGGUCACCUUUGGUACAACUCAGGAAUCGCGGCUCCGAUCAGCGCCGCACUCCCAGGGCUACCACUCUGCCAGGGAGGUCAGGAAUUUUAACUCACCUGCCUUUGGACUUACGCCAAUGGUCCCCCGCACACCGCACUUCCUCCGGUAGUGCACACUUUAUACUUGCCGGUCUUCUGGCCUGAGUCAUACUACUCGGCUUCGCGGUCGGAACGAGUUAUCCGGCCAACUAAGUGUUAGGCAUGCGUUCAACAUGACAAGAGGACGUACAACAAUCGGUCCUUAGCUGCCACAGACGGAGUUACUACAAACUUGCAAAACUCCGCCCGACUUAAGUCAAUUUAAUCAGGUUCCAUCCACGAUAGCACAUAUAGACCAUCGUGAUACGACAUAACCCUAUAUCGCGCAGGUGACAGGAUAUCACCCGACUUCUACCGAUUAAAGCAUGGCUAAGCUGCUACUCGAUCCUAACUCUACAACCAGGGUGUGUUGAGUUAUCUGGACAAGGAUAGAGUAGAAUGCAGCAACAGUUUCAUCACAACUCCUAUACGUAAUGCAUCAAUAGAUAGAACAUAUUAAGUGAACUUUCGAAAAUAAAGGGAGACUUAGAAUGCUCCGGGGCUUGCCUUUCACGAACGAUGCCGGCUCGUGAUUCGGGCACUCAACUUCUUCUUCGGGCUCCUCGAGUCCGGCUUGCUGGACCUCCACCUCCUGACUGCCCUCCUGACCUUCGGGAUUCGCCUGAAGCUCGUAGGAGGCUGUCGCGUCCAAUGCACCUAUUGCAUGAUCGAAUAAUAAGAAGAUGCACAUGCUAAAGAUGAAUGCUUGAUAACACAAGUAACUCACUGGACACUCAUUUACGGAGUAAAAGUUACACUAGCUCACAAAAGUAAAUAAGUCAACUCAGCCCACAACCUACCAUGAUACUUAAAACAGCAAGCAACACAAAACAAGUAUACUCAGUAAUUAAAUCAUAACUAAUGAUAUACAGGUCCAACAAACAUGAGUGAAGACAUUCUGGAAAGCUUAUGAAAUUGUCUACAACUCAUCUUUAAACAUGACAGCAAGAUUAAAAUAUUAAACUAGUCAUUUUAAACAAAGUUCCAGGUUCUGUCCCAGAAAAACAGAGAACCCCUAUUUCUGGAACCCAACUUGGAACAGCUAUAACUUUUAAACUACUUGGCCAAAUGACCUCAAAUUUAAACCACAGCUAGUUCAAAAAGUUUAGAACAACUUUGAUUUAGACAAGUUUCACAGAAAGUCAAGUUAUCAUUAAGUAACAGUUAAAUUGCUCCCUUGCUGUCCAGAACAGCAUUUAACCCUAAAGUUAAUUAUUUAAUAACAUGAUCAAAAUACAAACCAUGCCAACCACAUGGCCUAUGAGCACAAACAUAUUACAAGGUUACCAGAACACCAAAUGAAAACCCCCAAACCUUUACUUGACAAGGCAUUUAUUAAUUAAUCCUAAAUAAGAGCAUAAUUACAAGAUACUAGUCCAAGUGCUCAGAAAAAUCUACAAAAAUUACAGAAGCACAAGUAUGACAUCAGAUCAUCACCAUAAAAAUUUCAGAGCCAUUGCACAUACCAAAUUAAAGAUAUGUAUUUAACAUGGGCCAAGGUGCUUAUUUCAUAAAUUCCAAAACAUGACUUAUAUGAUGCCAAACAACAGAUGUCAGAUUAUUUACGACAUAGGAAUACCAUAAACAAGUUUACUACCAAAGUAGAGCACCAGCAUAAGCACCAAUUAUUUUAUAUAAUUUAAUCAAGGAAACAAGCCAAAUUUCAACCAUAAAUUACAUAACAAAGCUGCAUGCUCCAAAAAUAAUGAAAUAUUUACCAAAGCACUCUCAUACCAUACAGAGACUACCAUAAAAUUUUUAGAGUAAACUAAGCAGUGUAACAAGUGAUAUACAUUUAUCCAUGAAUAAAAAGAUUAAAUCCUUAAUAAAUAAUUUCUCAGAAAACAUGAUUCAUUUUAUAUUUUUAUUAAAUACUAGCCAUCUCAAGAAGCAUCACAAAAUUUGUUUCACAAUUUUUGGAUCUCAGAAACAGGAGAUAUGAUUUUUGCAAGAAAGCCAAAAAUCAGGAUUUUGAAUAAAAGAAAAGGAGGGAAGGAGAGUGUCGCUGACAGUGGGUCCCAUCUGUCAGGUUCUUCUUCCUCACGACCGAGGCGACUUUCGCCGGCGAUUUCUCCGCGACGGCGAGGUCUCCGGCCAAACCAAGGGCACCAACGUGAUCCCCACACUCUAGCGACUCGAUUGAUCCCACUUUUCCCACGGCGGAGCCACCGGAAGGGACUCACCGUCGACGAUGGCGGCUCGGCGGAGGUGCUCGGCGUUACGCCGGAGCCCUCAGGCCGGUAGAGCGCAACCUAAGGCCUUCUACAGCACCAGCGGACUACGGCGAAGCUUCCUAGGUACACAUCUUGGCCUGGAUCCUCGUGGAACACGCUGGCCACGAGAGCACCCAUCUCCGGCGGAAGCACGGCGGCGCUGCGCACCGUGUCCGGCGACGGAGAGCUCGGUAGAGCAUCCACCAAGUGGCGCAAAAGCUCGCUAAGGACCUAAGCUACCUCUAGGACCUAACCAGAGACGACGAGAGGCUUCACAGGGCUCGGCAUUGAGUUCGCCGGAGAAGAAGGUCACGGCGACCCGAUUUGGGGGAAGAAGGAAAUGUCGGCUCACCGGUGGGUUUCUCGGCGAGUUAGUGGGUGGAGAUUGGAGAGCGGUUCACGGCAGAGCUUUGGGUGAAGUUUGGUGGGCAAUGGCGCAGUAGGGAACGCGCGCGAGCUCGCCGGAGUAAGCUCGCGAAGGAGAGCUCCCGGCGGCCGCGUUUCAGGCGAGAGGGGCGAGGCAGAGCGAAGUGGACGCGUCCACUCUGCGCGGGGCGACGCCGUGGAGGUCAUGCACGCGACGAGAGCUGACAAGCGGGGCCAGGAGUGGCGUACGGGCGACAAAUGGCGACGGAGCUCUGCCGCCGGUUGGCCUCGUCGACGAGCUCGGGUUUGAUUCAGAAGAAACGAUGCUUGACUGAUAGAGCAACUUCACCGAUGAUUAUCUCCCAAACCAGAGCGAAGUAGAGGAUGAUGCAGUUGACAAAGUUGGAGUUCCAACCGAGAUCUACAACUUUGUCAAUUGGAGCAAAAGCCAAAUCGGCCUGGAUUGAAUGAUGUAGAGUUUUCAAAAUUGAUCAAGCAAACUGGUUUCGUCCAAGACUUAGAAAAUUUUCUAAGUGUUGGAAACAGCCCCAAAUCUGCCUUGUGGGCCAAUUUUGGGCUAUUUGUAAUCAUUUUCAUGAGAUGGCCAUAAAACAACUUUUGUUCCUUAUAAAAUUUGCUACAACUUUUCUGUAGGAAGUUUUGACAUGCAAACAUUUUAUGAAACACUUUUUAAAAGCCUAAGCAAAAGAGGUUUCUAGGGCCUAUUUUCAUAAGUAUGACUUAAAAGCAUAUUUUGGAGAAGUGACCAACAUGAACAUUGUUCCCAAGGCCAAGUUAAGCAUAGAUCAACUAAUUAACAAGGCAUUAAGCAUAAACACAAGCAUGGUUCACUCAAUCAUAAGCAUAGGAAGACUAUUUAAGCAAUUUAAACCACAUUUUUGCAUAGAAUGACAUGGCUCAAGAGAGAUGAUGAUCAUGGAUGCUUUGAUUAGAUAAUGAUGCUUAUGCUAUGCACAUGAUUAAUGCAACCAUAACACUGGGGUGUUACACUCUUCAUACAGGGAUAAGUGUCACAUAAAAGAUAUAUGAAGUAAUAAUAGUGACAAGGAUAACUAAUCUGAUCUAGCCACAUAAUAAAUAUGAUAAGCACCUCAAUUAGAUACUCUAGAAAGUCAUUAGCAUGGUAUUAGAACGAACUACAAGAAUAUUCCCUAAGUUAUUCUCAACUAUAUAGUCUAGCAUAUCAUAGUUAGUGCAAGCAUACUUAGCAAUCAUUGCGAGACAAGACUACGCCCAUGCAUAGUGAUAUUAGCAAGGUAAAUGAGAAACAUAGCAAUCACUCCCCUGUAAUAAUGUUGCUCUGCCAGCCCAAUACACGAGAGGGGGACUAUAUAAGAAUCAAUGAAGCUGUCACUAUCACGAACCACCCCACGAUCUGGCAUAUUGGGUACAAUCGCAGAUAAAUACGGUAUAAGCACCACGCCUACACAAUAUCUAUCAUUUACCCAUGGAUCUGAUGGAUAAACGCUAUACGAUCCUAAGCAUGUAUAUAGAUUGAAUCUAACUAAGCCAAGUACAUAACUAUGAUAAACUAAGAACAAUAUAAUCUUGAAUAUAAGCAAGUAGAGCAAAGUCAUAAGCAAUAUAUUGAAGUAGAACAAAGUCAUAUUCAUAAUAUUGAAGAACAAAGAUAAUUAGAAAGUAAUUAGAAGCACAAUUAGAGAAUUACCAAGAAUCCUCUUGACAGAUCCGGAAACCAAUCGAAGAUUGACUCCUUCUAGUUCUAAUCCUAUGUAGCUAUGCUAAUCUAGAUAUCUAAUUGAUGUGGUGGCUCUAAUCUUGAUCAGAGGCUUCUUCUCCCUUGAGGAACAAUGAAUUAGGGUUGAGAGGCUCUCUCCUCCAGGGGCCAGGGGGUCUGGUUUUAUAGUCCCUCCAAGUGAAUAUGGGCCAUUGGAUCAAACCGACAUAGAUUGUAUGGUUUAGAUUCAUCCUUUAGGUCGGUGGAGAUCUCCCACGAAGCAGAGUCCUGAUUGGACUUAGGGAGGGGACGGGCGCCCAGGGCAGGAGGGCGGGCGCCCUGCCUCUGGCCCCGUUUCGCCUCCGCUUCGGUCUCGUGGCUUCUGGAGUGUUCUAGAUGUAAGAUAAUUGCGCGGCACGUUAAUAUCUCUAUGUAAUCCCGACGUGUGGGCCUUUCUUUCGUAUUUCCUGAUAACCCCCUGCAGAAAUAGACAAACACCAAAACUCGUGGAAUUCUGUCAGAUAAAACCCUAAGUUUGGAUCUUGAUUUCAUUUGGAUCCUUUUCUUUAUUUAUUUGAUAAUUAAAUUUGAUACUUAAGGACCGUCAACAGUCCUUUCCUUAUGUAUCUUGGAGUUGUGAUAUGCUCUUUCACGCCAUUCAUCCAAAUCUAACAGUUGCAUUUUUCUUUUCUCUCCCGUAGCUUCAAGGUCCAUGUUCCAUCUUCGGAUUGCCCAGUGAGCUUUGAAUUCAAGCUCCACUGGCAAGUGAUAGGUCUUGCCGUAAACAAGUUGAUAUGGAGACAUCCCAAUGGGUGUCUUGUAUGUUGUGGUGCUUCAGUUUGUCUAGACAUUUGAGGAUGAUAUGUAGUGCUUCUACCCAAACUAGUGCCUAUUGAUGGUAGAUAACUGCUAAUUUUAACUGUCAACUAGACAUGAAAAUGGAUAUAUAUGCAAACACCUAGUAGAUAUAGGGUUAUCACUAAUAGAAUUCCAUGAGUUUUGGUGAAUGUCUGUUUCUGCAGGGUAUCAGCUGAAAAUAACCAAAGAAGCUCCACAUGUUGGGUUUAAAUAGAGAUAAAGGGUGAACAUCUACUUUUCUAUAAUCUAGAAGGUUCGAGGAGGCUCCAGAUCAAAUGGGAAGUGAAUCGGGUCCAGUAGCCAGGCGGCCGCCUGCCCCACUACCUUAGCCAAUGAGGCUCCACCUUGCGGAUCAUUCCUCCAACACCUUUGAGAAGUAAUCAUGACUGUUUGUUUAAGUCACUUUGAUCGGAGGGCUGUGAUGCUUCCUAGGGGGCUGUAAAUACAAGCUUGACCCCUCCUUGGGGAGAACAAUCUCUAUGAGUUGUAGGGGCGUCCCUUGAAUGGAUGACCUCUCUUCUCUAUGAGUUGUAGAGGUGUCCCUCGAAUGGAUGACCUCUCUUUUGUAGAAAAUUAGGGCUAGACAUUCCAAUGUAGUAGAUUAGUUCUAGUCGAGAGUUAGGGAGAGCGAAGCUACGCUCCGGUUCUAGAGGAAUCUUCUUUAGAGGUUUGGUAUGUCUUCAUAUCUCUUCUUUGUAAGACUUAUGCUUUAAUAUAUUAUCUUCUCUAUUUAGUUUAUGCCUAUUAAUGAUUAGUGUAGUUGUUAUAUUUUGGCAUGGGAUCUCUGCUUGUAUUGAGUGCUCUAAUUAUUCAUGGUAAUUAGAGUAGUAAACGCUAGUGUAGAUGUGGUGUCUAGGUUAUAGUUUACCUGAGGUUGCUCUCAAUCCCAUGGAUAGUUGUGGUAGCCCUAGGGGUGAUAGCCCUAUCAGGCCUUUGUAUUCCAUCAUGUUUGGAUUGAUGUUUUGUAGAGCUUUUGGCAGCCUUCCCCGACUACUUUCUUCCUAGUCUUAUUCGAGAGUCGGAAAGGACCUGCUGCUCCAAAGUGCCAUUGUGUGACUGCUAUAUCUUUUCAUAUUUGGUUACCUUAGAACCUAAGUAAUAGAGAAGUACAAAGGAACCUUGAUCUUCUAGUUGUCUUCCCACUUUAACUAUCUAUACAUUUAUCAUUGAAUUCUCUUACAUAUGCUUAAUUACUUAUUAUUAUAAUAUAUCAUUUAUCUCUACUUUAGUUUAGUUGAUACUCUAAGUUAGUAGAUGUAGGAUAGUGAAUUAUCAGAUUCUUAACCCUAGAUUCCUUGUGGUAAAAUAUAAACAACGAUACCUGGAAUACUCCCGGUAAAAUACUAUGAUGAUGUUUUUUGUGCUUGCGGAAUCUUUCCUAUUUCUUUUUGCACUAACAAAUGUCAACAAGCAUCGCCAUUGCCAGGAACUAGACCUUUUAUCUGUCUUUGGUGCUUGUGCUAAGAAAUGCCAACAAGCAUUUUUGGCGCCGUUGCCGGGAAAGCAAUUGGCGUAAAGAUUUUGAUAAUGAUCUUGAUGUCUGCUAAUUUAGUGUACCACUAGCUUUAGUAGGAUUACCCCUUUGUUCUGUUGAGUGUGGAUUAGACUGUCACACCCAAUUUUAAGGAUAAAAUUGAAUGCAAAACCUUAUGUGUGCCCAGAGAUCAAUCACACAUAAGCCGACAAAUUAUAGGGAGUGUCAUCACAAGUGUUUAUUACAUAACGAUAUAACUCAGAGUCUUUACAUAAAUAUAGCAGAAAAUAAAAGAUAACUCUUGCAUGGAAGCUCCAUCACACAGGCACGUCAACUGGUUGACCACAAGACUAGAAAUCCUCAAGGAAGUACUGGUAGUAGUCAUUACCCAUGUCAUCUGUUACCCAUCCGGGAUUUUUAUCCAAAUAAAGAAAAUAAACAAGUGUAAGUACACCUCGUACUUAACAAGUAUAACAGGAGGUUCAUGAGGCUCAAAGGUUAGACACUGGUUCAACUGCAUGUAGCUUUUAGUUGUCACAAUUUUAGCAUAUGAGUAGCAUCAAGUUGUCAAGACCCAUAAUAAACUCAUGAUCAGGUAAAGUGAAUAAAGAAUAGCAUAAACAACAUAUUAACAAUAAUAACAUUUAAUGAUUUGCCAUUAGUGUUCAUUUAUUCUGUAUUGGUCCAAGGCCGCUCGUGACCGUGAGCACGACUGAUAUAUCAGUUUUAUGCUCUACAGAGGUUGUACACUUUCACUGUGAGUCGUGAUUUACCCUUUCGCCCGAGGUGAUCAGCCCCUUAGCCCACUCCCAAGGAAGACCGGCAGGGUUCACUAUGAAGCCUUUCAAAGGUUCGUCUAACAAGUUAGGGCCGCUAGGUUUCGUUAGUCAGUCUGUGUGACUCACCCGCAGGAAUCCACGGUCUGCUAUCCCCCACUUCCGCCACAAGGGUAACCUCUAACAAGCUAGAAAAGGUCCUCAUACUGAGCUAAAGCCAGAGCCAUGUAGCCCUCACAGUUGUACUGUAUGUCCCGGAUGGUCAGAUACAGAUAAGUCCUUAUGGAGAGGAACUAGGGCACCAUAAGAUAGCCCAAUGCUCCAGCCCUCUUUUCCAAAGUUGCUAAAAAGUCAUCUUUUAAUGUUUAUUGCAUAAUCCUUUAAUCAAAUUACAAGAUCAUGGUUUAGUGGAGCACAAGCAUAAGCUACCCAUUGCAUAACCAUAGGUGACAAGGUAUAAAAUCAACACUAGGAAAUCCUUAUCAAGGAGACACAUGUAAUAUGAAUCAAGUGAUUAAAGUUAUUAGAAAACAAGGAUGAUCCCAUGCUAUACUUGCCUUGAUCACACUGGUCCUGCUGAUCCUGCUCGUAGUAGUACUCUUGAUCACCCACGAACUGCUCACCGUCUAUACGUAACCACCACAUCAAAAGCAAUCAUCCAAGGACAAUCAUACAAAGCAAACAAGCCUAUUGUUAGAACAGUACACCAACAGUAAUAAAUAAAGAUAAAAAGUUUAUAAAAUGAAUCUACAUCGCUCUAUGAUCACACAGACGUAAAGUUCACAAAAAUCGGAGUUAUAACGAAGAAGUUAUGAUUUUCCUAAGAUUUCCUUUAAUAAAAUAAUUAAUUAAAUAGGAUCACGAAAAUAAAAAGUUUCAAAUUUGUAAAACAGUGAGACUAUCAUGUAGAUCUUGUGAUUACGAAUCUAACGCAACUUGAACGGAUCAAAUCGGAGUUAAAACGGAGUUUUUAUGAGUAAAAUAGGAUCAAUGGCAAAACUGUAAAUCUGAGAAAACUGUUUUUGAACUGCGCGGUUGAAAAUACGUUUUCGAACUUGGAAAGCGUAAACGGCGAAAGCACAAAGGACUGCGGGUUUAUACUUUAAAAACCUCAGGGGGUUUUCUGCAAAACAACCGGCCGAAGGGGUAUCCUUCGAUGACGGCCGUUGGAUCGCGAACCAAGGGCCCAAAUUAGAUCGGGGAAGGGGGGGAAACUGAGUUGGCCGGCCGGAAUUGGACGGCCGCGGCGGCUCCAUGGCCGACCCUGGCCGGAGUUGGCCAAGCCGUGGCUAGAAAGCGGUAGAGCGCGAACCAAAAGCACCGGGAUGCUUAGAAACUCGGUGCGAACUCACCUGAGCAAGAAUCUGCGACGGAAAGAGGCCGACUAGGGGCUUGCGACGGCGAUCGGUGGACGGCGGCCCUGGAAAGAGGUUCGGCGAGCGUUAGCGACGAGCACAGAGCACGAAAUCAGGAAAAGAGAGUUCCGGCGACUUCGCAAGGCGAUUCCGAAGCCCGGCCAGCUGCUGACGGAGACUCGAAGGCGCUGCAGCGGCGGAUUGGUCGCGGCGCGGAUCUUGGCGGCGAAUUUGGUGCGUUUCGACGCGGCGGCUGCGGCUCGGGAUGAGUUGGCGGGUUGCGGGGCAUCGGGGCGGCAUAUAAAGGGCUAGAGUCGGGCGGAAUCGGGACUGCUCGCGCGAAACGCGCGCGGGAUUGCGGUUCGGCUCGUGUCCUGCUCGGACACGAGGUGGAAGACGGCCCUGACCGCUGGGCCCCACCUAUCGGUGAAACGGAGCGCGGCCCCUGUGUCAGCUGCUGCGGCAAGGAGGGAGGGGCGCGCGGCUUGCUGGGCUUGCGCUGCGCGCUUGGGCCGAAACCGGGCACUGGGCCGCGCAGGGAAGAAAGGGGGAGGAGGGAAAGCAGGCCGGGGGGGGGGGGAAGGAGAGAAGUGGGCCGAGCCCGAGACAGGGAGGGGGAGAGGAAAUCUUUUUCCUUUUUAUUUGUCCAGCUUUUACUCAAACCUUUUGACAAGAAUUUUUAAAACCAUUAUAACUUAGAAGAACACCACUCAAUAAAAUACAUGCAGCAGCAUGAAUGCACACACAUGUGUCUAGGCCUUAUAGUGGAUUUUAUUUCAAUAAAAAUGAUUUUCUUACUAUUUCUCAGUGCUCACAACAAAUAAUUAAAUCAAUUAGCCUAUUUGGAAAAGUGAAAUUUUUAGGGUGUUACAUAGACAGGACAUCAGAUGCUAUUUCGACCUUGCGACAAGUUUCCACAAGAUUAAAGAACCUAGGGUGCGUGAACAUUCAAGAUCUAUCAUUAAUUCUGGAACACUGCCAUCUCACAGGUUUGUGUAUACACAUAUAUUAUUUAUUCUAACCAUGUGUACAUUGGAGAAAAGGCCAUCGUCACAAGAAUUCAACUCCCAUCCCAUGUGAUGGAUAUAUACGCUACGCUACUCAUCCCAAUUGUGCAUCAUGGUAAGUGUGAUCAAGGUGAGAUAGUCUUGCUCAUGGACUUUAAACCUUAUGAGUAGUUAUAUUUUUUAUUUCUUGCAUAACGUUGCAUGUUUACUUUGAAUCAUCCAUGCACCCACUCCAUUUAGUUUACAUUUUCUCAUAUCAAAUCCUCAUCAUGUUUAGUUCCUUGCAUGCAUUCAUGUCGUCUGCAUCUAUAUAUAUAUAUAUAUAUAAUAUUCCUCACUACGAUCAUACUCUUCAUCCCUUUUCGAAUAAAUCUCUAUGAUGCAUUCAUGCUACCAUUGUUUACUAUAGUAUACGUAGGCUUUUGAAGUCUUUUCAGACACCUUUUUUGAAUUAGGCAAGGUACUUAGUUUAAACUGUUGUUUUGACUUAAAUUAGACAAGUUGUCUAGUUUAAUUCUUGGACCAAAAGGUGUUCUGAUCUUACUUCUAAAAGGCUUUUAAAUUAAGUAUGGUGCUUAGGUUGAAAUGCCUUCCUAAAUCAAGUUAGACGUGGUGUCUAGGUUGAUUUUUGUGCCAAUAGUAUGCUAUAGUGGAUAUUGGAUACUUUGUUGGACUAACCCCUGUUGAAAACCUUCAAAUACUAAAUUAGGAAAGUCGUGAGAUGAACUCACACUGGAUUUGAAGAGAGACACUAUAAUUUUGCACAAGGGAGACACAACUCACUAGUAGCCAAGAAGAAAAAAGGGUGCCACAAAACAUGAUCCAUGAUCAAAGCACUCACUCCAUGGAGUUGCAUUCUCUUGUCAACCACUAAUUAUCAGGAAUCAAGAAAAGAUUGACAAGAGAAGGGCAUGCAACGUUCUGCACUCUCACCUCUGAGGUUAAGAGGCUUAGACAUGAGGAAGAAAGGCCAACUCCUCUAGAUGAUCCAACCAAGUUCGUCCUCAUUGCUCCACACCCUGGUUUGCAAUCUCUAAUUUCACUAUUACUUUAUUUCUCUGAGUUUGAGUCGAUUCAUAAUGUCUAUAUUUAAGAAUCAAAACAUAAGAUGGGAAAAUAAAAUCAAUCCUUUAGAAAUAAGUAAUUGUGAAUAAUAAAUGUACUAUGCUAAGUAUGUUAAAACAAUUUCUUUUGUAGCAUAGAAAGUGACCCUUACCUCUGUGUUACAACAAUGCCCUUGUCAUUACUUGUAUAUUCCUUCGGGUAUGUAUUGUCCCCUAAUGCUUUGUAGGGAUUAAAAUAAUAAGAGCUAAAGGUCCAACCACAAAUUCAAGAGUGAACAAAUGGUGGCAUAAGAAGGAGUGCAAUAGAGAAGACAAUUGGUGCAUGAACAAGACACAAGACUGGCCAACCAAGGAAAGCUUCCACAAGAUGUUAUGGCUUCAACAUGCUUCAAUACUAAAGGUAACAUCUGUUGGUAAGUAAUCAUUACUUCCAAAUUAUCCUCCUUGAUUCUAGCAUGCACAUAAGUAGAGAGCCAAACAUGUUUUGAGUUACAACCUCAUUUGAUCCAAUCUAAUUAGCUCAACAUGUUUAGUUCUUUAUGCUUGUUCUUAGAAUCACUUUCUUGAUCUCGUCGCUCAUCCUAUCUUUAGAAGAUGAUAGUCAUAAUCAUGAAGUUAUAUAGACCAUCCUUCCAUAAUGUUGAGUAAUAUGAUUUGCCAAAUUCUUUAAUGCUAUCACCGAUGUUUAGAUAGAGCAAAACACAUAUAUCAACUUUAUGUCGUUCAAUGUGCCUAAGGUCAGAGAAUAAUGAACAAACCAUUUGGUUCUGUUGGUGUUUUCCCACCGACAGAGCCCAUGCACUUGAUCUGUGCCUUGUUUCUAUAAGCAGAAUACACUUUAGUCAACUCUCCGAGAAUCCUAUAAGUAAAGAUCCUAGACCUAUGAACAUGCACAUUGAGCGAAGAUGUUGCUAGCUCCUAGAACUAGUACUUGACUCCAACCUGCUGGAAGAGUAAUAAACAUAGGUGACACCAUCUCAAAAGGUGCAACUAUCAUGGUCUCCACCUUUGGGACUAGAUAAAGCACUUAAGGAAUUAACAUGACAAGAGAUCCUGUUUGGAGGACCUAAAUCACCAAACACCGUGCCAAUAGGUAACUUGGUAGUUAUCAACAUUUUCCUUUUUAGCACUACAUAAUUUUCCUUCAGCAUAUUUACUUUCCCUUAAAUGCAUAACUAGUUGCACAUCCACUUUACUAUUUCUGUAUUAGUAAAAGAAAAUAAAAAUAUGUCAUGCAUUGCAUCUAGAAAAUUCUAAGCCCCAUGUAUUUGCUGUGUGAUGCAACAGCCCACACACUCAUCUACUAUGGUGGCAUAAAAAUAAAUUUCAGCAUAUUUAUUUUCCUGUCUGCAUAUUAUAAAAAGUAUGAAAAUACAUUGAUCAUGCUAAAGGAUAAAUGGGUAUAAGAAAGUUCUAGACUCCCUAAGCUUAGAGGUUUAUUACUAACGCUUAAUCAGUUCCACAAGCUUUGUUGUCUAUUUAAGUUUCAGAGGCUUCCAAGGAUCAAGAAGAAUUAAGAGGCAGAAGGACGUCCUGUCCCUGUCGGAGUAUUGUCCACAUCAGGCAAGUGCUGCUUCAAACAACAAGUACCCACCACACUCUGUGAGGAUUAGUACACUUCACUGCCCAUCAGUAACCUCAGCAGACUAUGUCAACAUCCAGCUUGGAGGACAGCAACCCCCGUAUAGCGAGCUAAGUAUCUCUCACUUAUCCAUUUAUUCCUAGUGCAAUAUGACAAGAUGAAUAAUAUUAGAAACCCAAUAAAUAUUUUAUCUUUCAUAAUUAGUUUUUGCUAGCUAAAGAGAGCUUUUAAUGAAUCUGUUAAAAUGAACCUCUAGAAUAAACUCUUAUAUGGAGAUGAUGAAUAGUUGCUCUACCGUAAUUCCUUGCAAGUACUUAGUUUUCAACCUUGUACUCUCUUGUGUUUUAGAUACAACUGUUUAGACUUAAGAUUUGCUCUGAGCCUGAAACUUGUGGGUAGUAAUUUCUUGAUCUAAGUCUAGGUAGUUGACGCAUAUGAUAUGGGAAGGUUUUGAGCUGCUGUUAGUCUUGCUCCUAGAGAUGCUAGAGUUCUGUAGAAUUUUAAUUUGAAAAUCUUAAAUUGCUACAUGAUGAGUUCCUUUAUGACAAGAGUUUAAAAUUUCUUCCACAACCAAAUACUCAUGUUUAUUAGAUUAGGACACCCUUCCACUUAUAUUCAACCUAUAAGCAUUGAGGGUAGUUAAGCUAUGUAGACCCUAGGAAACUAGUCAUGUAGUUAAAGUCAAUAUUAUGUGCUCUCCAUCCAUUGAUCUUAGCUACUUCUGUCCUCAGAAGUAUGAAACCACUUACAUUCACUACACAUUCUCCAUGUGCUACUUCUGUUCCCGGAAGUACCACCCACAUAUACGCACUACACUCUGUGUUGUUUCUAUCCUAGAGACACACACCUCUGCUGCUCCUACCCUAGGAGUAUGCAUUCACCCAUACAUAUCCCACAUCCACUUAGAAAAUGUUCUACUCCUACACCGGGAGAAGAUACCCAAAAAUAUUCAAUAUCUUAUUCUACUUAUCCAAUGAAGCUCCAGUUUUUGCAGUUGAUACUCUCUACUAUUAUCAGUGCAUUAAAGGGGUUGGCUGAUCUCUAAAAAAAGAGAAAAGAAAAGAAAGAGGACAAAAGUCCCAAAAUAAAAGAAAGACAGCCAAGUCCUUAUUUUUAGAUUAGGGAGGUAUAUUAUCGCCAAGGAGCAAAUGUAGAAUUAGAUUUUCACCAUCAAUUAUCACCCCUCAUUAUCGCCAUCAUUCCUAUCAUUCAGUUCAUUCACUACACUCACAUGCAGAUAUGGCUUGAUUGUAUAAUUAGUUUCUCUAGAUCCAUGGUUUAACUAUGCAAUACAUGCAAAUAAGUUUGAAUUGUCUUUCCCACCUAUGAGCUCCACAUAAGCCAAUUAGAAGUUGGGUGAGAGAGAGAAGGCAACUAUGUCUUAAUGAUAUAAAUACCAUAUUCUAAGAGAAGGCAUAUUCACUUGCCUUGAAGGGGAUCCAAAAAUACCACAAAUGAGAGACUUGAAUGGUCAUACAAGGAAACUCUGAGUUUUAUUUGAAAACUUAGCAAAAACUCCAGAAUAAUAGUUGAUCAAAGAGCGAGAAAUAUAGUGCUUGACUUGACCAUUCUGUCUUUCAACUGCUCAAGACCCAAGUCAUGGUUAUAAGCCCCAUAGUGAAAGGUAAUAUGGGUGAGUAUUGAGACAGAAUAGUUCAUUCUAAUCCGGAGGAGAGUUCUUGUUUGAACACAUGUGUACUUUUGAGGUGUGAAGGCGUUGUAGCAACUAAUCCAUCACUGAGUUUAUCUUUGCUCAGAGAUGAGCAAAAUGUAAGCUUGGGGGAGUUUGUUAACGGUAGAUAACUCCUAAUUUUAACCAUCAACUAGACAUGAAAAUGGAUCUAUAUGCAAACACCUAGUAGAUAUAGGGUUAUCACUAAUAUAAUUCCAUGAGUUUUGGUGAAUGUCUCUUUCUGUAGGGUGUCAGCUGAAAACAACCAAAGAAGGUGCACAUAUCAGGUUUACAUAGAGAUAAAGGGCGAACAUCUACUUUUCUGUAAUCUAGAAGGUUUGAGGAGGCUCUAGAUCAAACGGGAAGCGAAUCAGGUCUGGUACUCGAGCGGCUGCCCAUAGGGCAUGAGCACCCGCCCCACUACCUUAGCCAAUCAGGCUCCACCUCAUAGAUCCUACCUCCACCACCUUUGAGGAGUAAUCUUGACCGUAUGUUUAAGUCGGUUUAAUCUGAGGGCUGUGGUGCUUCCUAGGAGGCUAUAAAUACAAGCCUAACCCCUCCUUAGGGGAACAAUCUCUAUGAGUUAUAGAGGUGUCCCUCGAAUGGAUGACCUCUCUUCUCUAUGAGUUGUGUUAACACCGUUUUUGGAACGGGUCAAGUUAGUUGAAGCAAACUGAUUGGUAAAAGAAAGGAUAUUGUAUCGUGGUAGAGGGAUGCCGAUGGGGAUCGACAGAUAAAGAUUGUGCUGAUGAUAGGGGAUGAUCGGUAGAAGACUUCUGAUGGUUCGGGAUCAGUAUAAGGUCAAAAAUGAUAUUUGCUGAUUGUUACUAUGAUUGCCGAUGCCGAUGGAGGAAGGUGUGGAGGCUACUGCCGAUGGGGAAGGACUCAAUGAAGACUUAAGAUAGGAGCUGAUGAAGUCUUUGUCGUAGCUAGGGGAAACAUAGGAAUAAAUAGUUAUUAUUUCUUUUUCUAUAGUUGUUUUAGUAUACCUUAUAUGUAAGAGUCUUGUUUACCUUGUUUGAAUCUUAGUCGUAUUCGGUUGUAACUCUUGGGGUUCGGGUAUAAAUGUAGACCUAGCAGCAAUGUAAUAGACAGAUGAGUCAUUAUCAAACACAAGUUUAUUCUUACUUUUACAUAUACUUUUCGACUACUUUGUCAAUUUGCAUACUUUUUCUGUUUAUGAGUUCUCAAGGAUUCGGCGAGUUUCACUCAACGACUUCUCGAGUUCCACGUGAGUACCUCUUGGCCGUGACAUCGGGGCGCAUCGCUGUUGUGAGGACCAAAGUAUUCAAGUUAUCACCUUUGUCGAUUAAUAGGUCAAAUCGGCUGGCACGCCUUGAUAUCAAGAUUGGGUAUUAGCCCUUUGUGUUUGCAGAUCUAUUUUUGCAUCAACACAUCAUUUGACACGCUCGGUGGGAAUAUCAACAAAGAUCAAUAUGGCUACUUCUGAACUCGACACAGACAAUGUCAUCAGCGUGACAGAAGCCGAUCUCAGGGAAGAACAGAAGCAAGCCAUGGAGAGGGCUAUGGAGGAAUACAAAUAGCUCUAUUUGAAAUCCUUUAGCCUAAACAGGAGCCGAGAAGUUAUCCAGAAGCAAGAUCUACCAUUGCCUCGGCAGGUUACCUUUGAUCCCAAUCCUAGUAAAUUGCAAGACAUGGUUAAUUCUACUGUUAAUCAUGCUUUGAUUAAUCACUCCAAAGUGUUGUCCAAUACUGUUUACAAUGCUGUUGUCCGAACCUUUAAAGAAGGACAGACACCACCACUUUAUGCUGGCCUGGCCUAUCAUCAGCCAGGAUUAUCAUCGGUUGUGGCUCCAUCGACUCCUUCAGCCGUUGCGGGUAUAGAGGUUACUUCUCCUCCGAGCACAGCGGGAUUGGCUAACGAGCAAUCUGCACCGAUGAGAUCUGAUCCAAUGACUUCAGGGGGAUGGGUCUAGCUCAACACUGAUCUAUCGACAUUGGCUAUGUCAGGAUCUGUAUUUCAAAACUGUCAAGUUCCUCCCAACUGGUGGGGAUAUAGUAUGCUUCCAAAGUUUUUGCAAAUAAUUCUAGAACAUCUCAGAUGACUGACUUAGCAGGGAAGACUCCCUUGCCAUGGGCGCCUCCAGUCUCCCGAUGACUCCGGUGCCUCAGUACUCCACGACAAAUACUGCAAGGCCAAUUACUAGGAAUUUUUAGAUGCCAAUGUUCCAGACGCCUAAUGCGAACUCAUCGGCUAAUCCAUUGCUGACACAACAGAGGUUUAUGUCUGAGGCGGGUUAUGUCAAUCCAGCAAUGACAACUAAUUACCAGCCAUCGACAAGUCUUUUGCCGAUGAAUGUUAAUAAUGGUUGGACAGGACAGUUGGUCUUCCCACACACGGCUCAGCAGAAUCAUCAGGUUGCAGGAGUUCAAUAGGGUAAUAUGCAGGUCGGCUUUCAGAAUCAGGCACCAGCAGUUCAGCCGAUGAAUCUUACUCAGUAGAUCGGUGGUCCACAAGCUAUGGCUAAUAUGAUGUUUGCUGGAGAUUGUGUACCCCAAAGACACGUGGAAGCAUAUCAGCAGGUGCCAUAAGUUCAACCAGUGCAUCGGCAAGAUGCUAAUGCCUAUUGGGCUAAUAAGAUAGCAGAGGUUAUGAGAGAUCAAUUUGGGAUAAAACCUAAAGUCAAUACUUACUCUUAUCGGACACCAUAUCCUCCUGCGUAUGACCUAAUCCCUCUUCCAAAUCGGUACAAAGUGCCAGAUUUUACUAAAUUCUCUAGACAAGAUGAUACCUCGACAAUGGAGCACGUUAAUCGGUUCAUCAUUCAAUGUGGAGAGGCUGCCAACAGAGAUGAAUUAAGGGUUCGUUUAUCUUCAUCAUCCUUGUUGGGAUCGGCUUUUACCUAGUUUAUUUCAUUGCCUCUGAAUUCAGUCAUUACUUGGGCAGAUUUAGAAAAACAAUUUCAUAAAUAUUUCUUUUCUGGAGUUCAUGAAAAGAAGCUCACUAAUUUAGUGAGAUUAAGACAACAUAAUGAUGAAUCUGUGGAGGGCUUUGUGCAGAGACUGCGAGAUGUGAAGAAUAAAUGUUACAGUCUAGUUCUGGAUGAUCGGCAGCUGGCUGAUUUAGCUUUUCAAUGGUUGCUGCCACAUCUCAAAGAUAAGUACGCUUCUCAAGAGUUUGAAAGUUUGAGUCAUUUGGUGUAGAGAAUUUCUGAUCAAGACACUAGGACUUUUGAACCUAGGAAGAAUUGGAAUAAAAUGGUAUCGUUUGUUGAUGAGGCAGAAAAUUCUGAUUCUGAUGAGGAACCAGUCAUUGGCUUGUCAGAGUGGGUAAAAAAUAAGAAGCCAAUGUCUUGUCCUUUUGGGCAGAAAGAGCCAGAAAAGUUCGCUUUUAACGUCACUAAAGCCGAUAGAAUAUUUGAUUUCUUGCUUCAAGAGGGACAAAUUAAGCUAUCGCCAAAUUAUGUAAUUCCAUUAGCGGAAGAGUUGAAGAAGAUUAAGUAUUGCAAAUGGCAUAAUGCGACUUCACAUAGUACAAAUGAAUGCAAAGUGUUUAGGCAGUAGUUGCAGUCGGCUAUAGAGUUUGGGAGAAUCAAGUUUGAUAGUUCCAAAACUCAGAGGUCGAUGAAAAUUGAUCAGCACCCUUUCCCCAUGAACAUGUUAGACGCCAAGGGUAAGACUAAGGUCUUGAUGUCAGAAACGGCUGAGAAGAACGCAUAGGUAGACCCCCAGCAUCAGAUAACUACCGAUGACGCCGAAGGAAAGGGUUUAUUGAGGGAAGGCAACAGUUCUAGAUGGCCUCCCCGAUGUGGCGUAGUAAUCACUCAUAGACAGCAACAGGAGAAUUGGCAACAGGUGAGGAUUGAUAUCGGUGUCAACAAGAAGAUAGACGUCGAGAGGAAUGGAAUCGACAUAAAGAUCAUUGGGAUUGCCCGUUCUUUGUUCAUUGUUGGGAACGAGACAUCAAAUUGCCGACUGUUGAAGAUUGUCCUGAGUGCAAUGGUUAUCGUCGACAUAAUCGGUCAAAUCAGAGAUUCCAAACAGAUAACUGACGUUUUAAUGUGCCGAUCAGACGAAGAACAUCAGUUCACGAUCGGCUGGGGGGUAGGCUUAAUGUGCAUGAUAGGCUUGGUGGACGUAUCGGUUACUUUCCGAGGAAUCAAGAAGAGCUUGAAGAGAUGGCAAACGCAAGGGUUCCCGAUGAGUUCAUAUUCUGCAAAGAUUCUAACAUUCAUCGUGUAGAGUCAAAGGAGGUGCGCUAUCAGCCAGUUUGGAAGACCAAGCUUCCCCUAUGGUGUCCAGAAGGUUUGACAAGAACACAGAGGAUGAGGAUGCAAUGGGAACGUCAAGAAGAUUUGUACAGGGAGGAAAAUUCUUCUAAGUCUGAGGAUCGACAGUGGUUGGACUGCAAGGGGAAAUGACCAUCAGCAGAUGUUAAUAUGGUAUUCAUGUUGCUGAUGGAAUUUCUUGCACCCUCUAGUGAUGAUGAGGAAAUUAGUCUCCCUGAUCAAAUGGCUUAGUUGGCACUUGAUCCAAUGAUGGCUGUUUUUGAGAAACCCUCCAAUGAUGAGAGGCAGCAUCUCAAGGCUCUAUUUGUUGAAGGCAGGGUUGAUGGGCAGCCAGUAUCUAAAAUACUUAUUGAUGGAGGGGCUGUAGUUAAUAUUAUGCCAUAUGUGAUAUAUCAGAAGCUUGGUAAAGGAGAUCAGGACUUAACCAAAACCGAUAUGAUGCUAAAAGACUUUGAAGGUAAUGCUAAAAGACUUUGUAAGAAGAAUCUCCAACUAAAGGAGCUAUCUGUGUUGAAUUAACUGUUGGCAGUAAAACCUUGCCGACGACUUUCUUUGUUAUCAAUGGAAAGGGCGCAUACAACUUACUGCUGGGGAGAGAUUGGAUUCAUGCCAACUGCUGUGUCCCUUCCACAAUGCAUCAAUACCUUGUUCAAUGGGUUGGUGAUAAAAUUAAAAUCGUUCCUGGAGAUUCUUCUUACAUCAUUGCAUCAGCAGAGUCAGAUACUUAUGAACGAACUAGGUGCAUAUCAGGGGAAGUCUAGGAGAAAGAUUUCCUUAAAGUUGCCGAUUAUGAAAUUCCACCGAUCUAAGCAGUCGGUUCUGAUGAAGAGUUUUAAUGGAUAGAUUCGCCGAUGAUGGAAAGUUAGGACAGAGGUUUACAUCGGCUGAUGACUUGGUAAAAGUAGAUAUAGGUAGAGAAGAUAAACCAAGGCCUACUUUUAUUAGUGCUAACUUAGAUUCUGAGUUUAAGCAACAAUUAACUGAUUUGUUAAGAGAGUAUAAAGAUUGCUUUGCCUGGGAUUAUACUGAGAUGCCUGGAUUAGACCGAUCAAUUGUCAAACAUCAGUUGCCUAUUAAAUCUGGGUUUCGACCACAUUAGCAACCGGCGCGCCGAUAUAACCCUAAUAUUCUUCCCGAUAUUAAGGCUGAAAUAACCAAACUAAUUGAAGCUAAGUUCAUUUGGCAAUGUCAGUAUACGGAGUGGAUUUCAUACGUUGUUCCUGUCUACAAGAAAAAUGGAAAACUUCGCGUAUGCAUUGAAUUUAGGAAUCUCAACAAAGCUAUGGCGAUGGAUGGCUAUUCGAUGCCAGUUGCUGAUUUAUUGGUUGAUACUGCAGCCGGACAUCGGAUUAUUAGCUUCAUGGAUGGCAAUGCAGGGUAUAAUCAAAUAUUCAUGGCUGAAGAAGACAUACCUAAGACUGCUUUCAGAUGUUCUGGCCAUGUUGGUUUGUUUGAAUGGGUAGUUAUGACAUUUGGUUUGAAAAAUGCCGAUGCUACCUAUCAAAGAGCUAUGAACUUUAUUUUUCAUGAAUUCAUUGGCACGUUAGUAGAAAUUUAUAUCGAUGAUGUGGUGGUUAAGUCUGUAGAUUUUAUAAAGCAUCUAGCCAAUCUAUUAAAGAUACUUGAAUGCACUAGGAAGCAUGGUUUGAAGAUGAAUCCUAAUAAAUGUGCAUUCUGUGUAUUGGCAGGACAGUUCUUGGGCUUCAUGGUGCAUCAGAGGGGGAUUGAAGUUAAUAGAAGGUCCAUUGAUGCAAUCAACAAAGUAGUUGCUCGUACUGAUAAAACUGAACUUCAGUCCUUGAUCGGCAAGAUUAAUUUCAUCAAGAGCUUCAUAUCCAAUCUGUCGGGUAAGAUCAAAGCCAUCAGUCCUUUACUCAAAUUAAAAGCUGAUCAGGAGUUUGUGUGGGGGAUGGAGCAGCAGCCGGCCUUAGAUGAAAUUAAGAAUUAUUUGAUAAAUCCUUUGGUGCUUGUUCCACCUCAACAUGGAAAACCCUUCCGAUUAUAUUUGUCGACCGAUGAUACAGUUAUCGAUUCAGCUCUCAUACAAGAAUUUGAAGGGAAAGAAUGUGUGAUUUAUUAUUUAAGUAGAAGAUUGGUGGAUGCUGAGACGAGGUAUUCGGCCAUUGAGAAAUUGUGUUUAUGUCAGUACUUUUCUUGUACUAAAUUAAGGCAUUAUUUGUCAUCGGCCGAAUGUACUGUCAUAUGCAAAGAUGACGUGGUCAGAUACAUGUCGAUGCUGAUUAUGAGUGGUGUUGACGGUCCUUAAGUAUCAAAUUUAAUUAACAAAUAAACAAAGAAAAGGAUCCAAAUGAAAUCCACAUCUAGACUUAGGGUUUUAUUUGACAUAAUUCCACGAGUUUUGGUGUUUGUCUAUUUCUGCAGGGGGUUAUCAGGAAAUAUGGAAGAAAGGCCCACACGUCGGGAUUACAUAGAGAUAUCAACGUGCCGCACAAUUAUCUUCCAUCUAGAAGACUCCAGAAGCCACGGGAAGGAAGCGGAGGCCGAACGGAGCUAGGCACUGGGCGCCCGCCCCCUGCAGAGUUGGAUCAGGACUCUCUUUCAAGAAAGAUCUCCACCAACCUAAAGGAUCAAGGAUAACCAUUCAAUCAAUGUUGGAUUGAUCCAACGGCCCAUAUUCACUUGAAGGGACUAUAAAACUAGACCCCCUGGCCCCUGGAGGGGAGAGCCUCUCAACCCUAAUUCAUUAUUCCUCAAGGGAGAAGAAGCCUCUGAUCAAGAUUAGAGCCACCACAUCAAUUAGACAUCUAGAUUAGCAUAGCUACAUAGGAUUAGAACUAGAAGGAGUCAAUCUUCGAUUGGUUUCCGGAUCUGUCAAGAGGAUUCUUGGUAAUUCUCUAAUUGUUCUUCUAAUUGUUCUUCUAAUCAUCUUUGUUCUUCAAUAUUAUGAAUAUGACUUUGUUCUAUUUCAAUAUAUUGCUUAUGACUUUGCUCUACUUGUUUAUAUUCAAGAUUAUACAGUUCUUAGUUUAUCAAGUUAUAUAUUUGGCUUAGUUAGAUUAGAUCUAUAUACUUGUUUAGGAUCGUAUAGCGUUUAUCCAUCAGAUCCAUGGGUAAAUGAUAGAUAUUGUGUAGGUGUGGUGCUUCUACCGUAUUUAUCUGCGAUUAUACCCUAUAUGCCAGAUCGCGGGAUAGUUCGUGAUAGUGACAACUUCAUUGAUUCUUAUAUAGUCCCCCUCUCGUGUAUUAGGCUGGCAGAGCAACAUUAUUACAGGGGAGUGAUUGCUAUGUUUCUCAUUUACCUUGCUAAUAUCAAUAUGCAUGGGCGUAGUCUUGUCUCGCAAUGAUUGCUAAGUAUACUUGCACUAACUAUGAUAAUGCUAGACUAUAUAGUUGAGAAUAACUUAGGGAAUAUUCUUGUAGUUCGUUCUAAUACCAUGCUAAUGACUUUCUAGAAUAUCUAAUUGAGGUGCUUAUCAUAUUUAUUAUGUGGCUAGAUCAGAUUAAUUAUCUUUGUCACUAUUCAUUACUUCAUAUAUCUUUUAUGUGACACUUAUCCCUGUGUGAAAGAGUUAGAUAUAAUGUUCUUAAUUAUACAUGCAAUGAUAGAUACUCAAUCUCAUAUUCUAUUCUGUAAACAAUAUUGAUGAUUGUUAAUCCCUUCCCAGUGGUUAAAAUAUAAAUAACGAUACCUGGAAUACUUCCCGGUUAAAAUGCUACAUCGGUAUUAAUCUGUGCGCUUGCAGAUCCCAUUCAUUAUUUAUUUAGAAGAGCAAUUGCAUAUUUCUAUACCGCGUCUCUCAUGUCAUGCUGGGGAUGACAACUUGGCUUAAGUGGUGUGAGGGAUAGGUUUGGCAUUUUUGGCACCGUUACUAGAUUUAGAGAACUAAGUCUACUUUUGGUAAUGAUGUUAAGAAUACCCAACAAACAUUUUUGGCGCCGCUGUCGGGGGAGGUUGAUUACUAAUCAAGAAUGGAAUAAAGGAUUUUGAGUUAUCAUUCGCAUCACUAAUAUGAUUGAGCUUAUCUAUUCUCUCAUAUAGUUUUACCCCGAUAUUUUUCUAUUUUAUCUUAUGCAGGGGAAUGUAUGAAUAGAAGACAUCUUCCAGGAAAUUUUGUUGACAAUCCCGAAGUGUUAUUCAGAAGAACUAGAGCCAAGGUCAAGAAGAGAUCAUCAACACUUCAGCAAGAAGCUUCAUCCAAUCAAGAAGAUCAUCGGAACUUGCCUUCAGAGUUCGAAGCCUUGGCGAACAAAUCAAUCCGCGAGUUCUCAGCUCCCACUACGGACAACAUCCGCACUGGACCUGCUGUAGAGAUCGAUGGCAACUUUGAGCUCAAGCCUGGACUUAUCAACAUGGUGCAAUCCAACCAGUUCUGUGGGAAGGCACACGAAGAUGCUAGUGCUCAUCUACAACACUUCCUGGAGAUUUGCAACACAUUCACCAUAUCAGGAGUCUCGAGAGAUGCUAUACUACUUCGCCUCUUCCCAUUCUCACUGUUAGGGAGAGCGAAGCAGUGGUUCUACGCUACAAAGGAGAAGAAUACUACGUGGGCACUCUGCUCAACAAACUUCCUGGCUAAAUUCUUUCCCAUGGGCUAGACCAAUGCUCUCUGUGGGAAAAUUACAAGUUUUCAGCAACAAAAUGAUGAAUCUGUUCCAGAAGCAUGGAAGCGCUUCUAAGACUACAUCCUAGAAUGCCCCCAUUAUGGAAUGGAGAGUUGGCUACUGAUGCAGACGUUUUAUCACGGGCUCGGCAACAGUGCUUGAGAAACCAUAGAUGCUGCAGCUAGAGGAGCAUUCUUAUCACUUACUAUACCACAAGCCACAGCUCUUGUGGAGAAGAUGGCGUCCAACCAAAGCUGGAAUGAAGAGAGGACCCAGACACGCAAGAGAGGUGGAGGUAUGCAUCAGCUCAAGGAGGUAGACAUGCUGUCUGCAAAGCUAGACCUGCUCAUGAAGAAGCUCGACGAUAGAGCUGGAGAUAAGAAGGAAGUUAUGCACAUCUACGACUCUCACAUGACUUGUGAGGAGUGUGGAGACACUAGACACUCAGGCAAUCACUGCCCUAAGAUACUUGAGGAUGUAAACUACAUCAACAACAACAACAACUACUACUACAACCGUCCUCAACAAAAUCAAGGUUGGAAUCAACAGAGGCCUAACUACUCAGGUAAUUAUCAAGGUAAUAAUUCUUACAACAAUAAUAAUAAUUUUCCACCUCUGAGAGAGUUAGUGUCUAAUCAAGGAAAGCUAAUGGAUAACCUAUCUAAGAAAUUGGCAUCUAAUGAUAAAAUGCUAGAAAAUAUAAAUAAUAGAAUGGAUAAUUUCUCUACUGCCAUCAAGAAUCAAAUUAGCUUUAAUAAAAUGAUUGAAUCUCAGUUAAAUCAAAUAGCUGCUGCUGUUCCUGCUACUAACCCCGGUAUACCAUCACAACCGGAAGGAUUAGAAUCUGCAAAUCUUGUAGACAUGUUUGAUGCAGGUAAUUGGAGUAACCCCAUCACUGAAUUCUCUACUGACCUUCUGCCAGUCAAGAGAGGCGAUCCAGGACGCCCCGUCAUCCCGAUCUCCAUCGGCAUGGUGGACUUCCCAGAAGCACUCUGUGACUUUGGCUUUAGCGUCAACAUUAUACCCAUGGUACUCUAUGAAAAUUUUUUUAUAUAUAUCCUUUAUUAGAAACAACCAUGUGUUUGCAGUUUGCAGAUCAGACGAUAAGUUUUCCAAAAGGAAUAUUGAAGAACCUUUGUGUCCGAGUUGGUACCUUAUAUGCCCCAGCAGACUUCGUAGUGGUAGAGACCUGUAAUGAUGAGAGAGCACCCAUCAUCUUAGGGAGGCCAUUCUUGAACACCUCGGGAGCUAUCAUCUACGCCAGUGCUGCCAAGAUUAGUUUCUACAUCAAAGGGAGGAAGGAGAUAUUUUUCUUCAAGAACAAGACUACACAAAUUCCAGAUCAAUCCAGACGUGAAUCAAGGAAGAGGACCAACAGGAGGAACAGGAAUAAGCAAGUGUGGACCGAGUCAGCUAAGAUGGUCACUAUAGUUCAUGGAGGCCAAGAUCACCAACUUAAGUCACCAUUUUUGACCAAGAAGGACGACCAAGGAAUGCCAAGCAUCUACUGCUCCAUAAAUGGAUACACUUCUACAAGACGACUUGCGACAUCGGAUCGGGCGUCAAUAUAAUGGCCGCAGUCACCUAUCGGCUCUUGUUCGGAACCAUGCCCCUAAGACCAACAUACAUUCAACUCCAGAUGCUAGAUCAGACAUUUCGAGAAGUUAAAGGAAUAGUAACUGAUGUCCCAGUCAAAAUAGACGAUCAUUUUGUCUACACAGAUUUUCAAGUUAUUGACAUGGGAGAAGACAAAUACGAUCCACUCAUCAUCCUUGGAAGACCGUUCCUCAGCACCGUUAAAGCAAUCAUCUACAUUGGAACCGGAGAAGUCCAUAUGCACUUCCCCUUAGAGAAGGUACGCCGUUAUUUUACUGACCCUGACUAUAUCGUUGAAGAAUCUAAGCAGGUCAGAAAGAGACGCAACCGCAACCAGAGGAGGCAGAUCAUCAGGGACGGAUGGGCAGACUAUGAAGGAGAAGUGAUAAGGUCUAAAGAUGUAGAGUUUAAACAGAAUUAUCCAGAGGAGACCGAAGCACCGAGUCAGGUAUGGAAAGAGAAGAUAACUAUACAUGAAGAAGAGGCGCUGCCGGAAGUACCGACUCCGCCACCCAACGAAUCCCAGGACAAUUGAGAAAAUGGAGAGUCCCAUUCGAAGGACUUAAAAACACCGAACGCCUUGUCAAGAGGUAAACUUGGUAGUUAUCCUUUCCCUUUCAAUUAUUUAAAAAUAGUUUGCUUAGUUAAUCAUGUUCAUACUAUCGUAAAAAGAAAAUAAAAAUAUGAAAAACAGUAAGCCCCAUGUGAGUAUACGAGUGGCAUAAAACCCAUAAGUACAUUCACUGUGGUGGCAUAAAAAUAAAAUAAAUAUUUUUCUACUUAAUACAAUGAAAAUAUAAAAAUAGGGAGUAAUAAUUAUUAAGGAGUCUCAACAUGAUAAAGGCUAGAUUUUUAUGCUAACAUUUAAUCAGUUCCACAAGCUUUGUUGUCUAUUUGAGCUCCACAGAAUUUAAGGAUCAAAGAAGACUAGCAGAAGGAGGACAUUCUAAUCGCUGUCAGAAUUGUGCCGACUUUCAAAUACACCUCUGCCACCUGCUAGCUACAUCGAGAGAAAUUACGUCAAAAUUCAGCUUGGGAGAGAGCACCCCCAUUCAUCCCGAUAAGUAUUUCUAUCUAUCUUUAUACUUAUAUUAUAUUAGAAUUUAAAUAUACAUAACUAUGGAAAACCAAAUAAAGAUCUUGUGCUUAUAUAUAUCUUUUGCUUAGUGUGUUUAAUAAAUAAAUAAAGUGGCUAUGCUAAUCUGUAUCUAAAUAAAACUCAAGCAUGGAUAUGAUGAAUAGUUGCUCUGCCUAAUUUGCACAUUUUAAGUUCUCUCUCAAGUUUAGACAUAACUGUUAUAAUUUAAAGCUUGCUCCAGACCUAAACUUGUGGGAUGAAAACUUGAUCUGAAGUCUAAGUUGUUAACGGAUACGAUAUGGGAAGGUUGAGCUGCUAUUUAUCUGUUCCUAGAGAUGCUAGAAUUUUGGAGAAUUUUAUCUUUGAAAAUCUUUAAAAUUUUGCAUGAUGAGUUCCUGUAUGAUGAGAGUUUAAAUGCCUACCAUAGCCAUAUAUACAUGCUUGCUAGACUUUGAGCCACACAUUUACUAUUUACUGCUUAUGAGCAUUGAGUGUGGUCAAGCUGUGUAGACCCUUAGGAGCUUGUCAUGUGGUUAAAUCAAGAUUCACUUGCACGUUCAAUCACAUAUGCUGCUUCUACUCCGGAAGUACCAUCCACAUAUAUCCACUCAUUUCCAUCUCCAGAACCACCCAAAAAUAUUCUACUCCUAAUCCGGGAGAGAAUAGCCAAAAAUAUUUCUGUUUUUCCCUUAUGAAAUAAAUGCUCAAGUUAUCUUGUUACUACCACUUGCUAUAUUAUCUCAAGAGAUGAGUGCUCUGAAAAAAAGAGAGAAGAAAAGAUAAGAGGAAAUAAAAAGGGGCAAGUGCCCGGAACCUCGAAAGAAAGAAAAAGUGAGACGAGAGGUAAAAAUGGACAAGUGUUCGACAGUAGAAUUAGGGGUACAAGAUACCCACCUGAGAGGAAAGAAAAAUAAAAAGAUAGAGCAUCUCAUUCUUCUCAUAAAGUUUCAAAAAGCAAGAAAGGUAUAUAUCCCCUCAAAAGAGCAAAAGUAGAAUUAGACUUCCACCAUUGUUAUCACCAUCAUCACCAUACACCAUUCAUUCGCCACACAUGCACAUCUUGAUUUGACUUAUUGAUUUGUUUCUUUGGAUCCAUGGUUUGACUAUGCAAUAAAUGUCUUGUAAGUAUGUAUACUUUAUCUCCCACCUAUGAGCUCCAGAUAUUAAAGCCUUAUUAGAGUAGGGUGAGAGAGAAGGCAAUGUUUCUAUGCCUUAUACCACAAAUACUAUAUAUCUUGAGAGAAGGCAUAUACCAUCACUGCCUUGGUAAGGAUCCAGAAAUACCACAAAAGAGAGAUCUGAGAGAGUCAUACAAGGAAUCUCUGAGUUUUAUUUGAAAAUCUGCAAAAAAAUUCAGAGCUAUAGCUGAUCAAGAAGAAGAGACAUGACACUUGACUAGACUGUUCUAUCUUUUAACUACUCAAGACAGAAGUAACGGUUACAAGUCCCAUAGUGAAAGGUAAAGUAAGUAAGUUUUAAGUCUUGACAGUUUACUCUAACUCAGAGAUGAGAUCUUAUUUAAAAGCAUGUGUACCAUCAAUUUUUAAAGAUAUUCCAAAAACUUCUGAUCUAUCACUGAGUCUAUCCUUGCUCAGGGACGAGCAAGAGGUAAGCUUGGGGGAGUUUGUUGACGGUCCUUAAAUAUCAAAUUUAAUUAUCAAAUAAACAAAGAAAAGGAUCCAAAUGAAAUCAACAUCUAGACUUAGGGUUUUAUCUGACAGAAUUCCACGAGUUUUGGUGUUUGUCUAUUUCUGCAGGGGGUUAUCAGGAAAUAUGGAAGAAAGGCCCACACGUCGGGAUUACAUAGAGAUAUUAACGUGCCGCGCAAUUAUCUUACAUCUAGAAGACUCCUGAAGCCAUGGGAAGCAAGCGGAGACCGAAAGGGGCCAGAGGCAGGGCGCCCGCCCUCUUGCCCUGGGCGCCCGCCCCCUCUCUGAGUCCAAUCAGGACUCUGUUUCUCGGGAGAUCUCCACCGACCUAAAGGAUCAAGGAUAACUGUUCAAUCUAAGUCGGUUUGAUCCAACGGCCCAUAUUCACUUGAAGGGACUAUAAAACCAGACCCCCUGGCCCGUGGAGGAGAGAGGCUCUCAACCCUAAUUCAUUGUUCUUCAAGGGAGAAGAAGCCUCUGAUCAAGAUUAGAGCCACCACAUCAAUUAGACAUCUAGAUUAGCAUAGCUACAUAGAAUUAGAACUAGAAGGAGUCAAUCUUCGAUUGGUUUCCAGAUCUGUCAAGAGGAUUCUUGGUAAUUCUCUAAUUGUGCUUCUAAUUGCUUUCUAAUUAUCUUUGUUCUUCAAUAUUAUGAAUAUGACUUUGUUCUACUUCAAUAUAUUGCUUAUGACUUUGCUCUACUUGCUUAUAUUCAAGAUUAUAUUGUUCUUAGUUUAUCAUAGUUAUGUACUUGGCUUAGUUAGAUUGGAUCUAUAUACAUGCUUAGGUAUAGCGUUUAUCCAUCGGAUCCAUGGGUAAAUGAUAGAUAUUGUGUAGGCAUGGUGCUUAUACCGUAUUUAUCUACGAUUGUACCCAAUAUGCCAGAUCGUGGGGUAGUUCGUGAUAGUGACAGCUUCAUUGAUUCUUAUAUAGUCCCCCUCUAGUGUAUUGGGCUAUCAGAGCAAUAUUAUUACAGGGGAGAGAUUGCUAUGUUUCUCAUUUACCUUGCUAAUAUCACUAUGCAUGGGCGUAGUCUUGUCUCGCAAUGAUUGCUAAGUAUGCUUGCACUAAUUAUGAUAAUGCUAGACUAUAUAGUUGAGAAUAACUUAGGGAAUAUUCUUAUAGUUCGUUCUAAUAGCAUGCUAAUGACUUUCUAGAAUAUCUAAUUGAGGUGCUUAUCAUAUUUAUUAUGUGGCUAGAUCAGAUUAAUUAUCUUUGUCACUAUUCAUUACUUCAUAUAUCUUUUAUGUGACACUUAUCCCUGUGUGAAAGAGUUAGAUAUAAUGUUCUGAAUUAUACAUGCAAUGAUAGAUACUCAACCUCAUAUUCUAUUCUGUAAUCAAUAUUGAUGAUUGUUAAUCCCUUCCCAGUGGUAAAAAUAUAAAUAACGAUACAUGGAAUACUUCUCGGUUAAAAUGCUACAUCGGUAUUAAUCUGUGCGCUUGCAGAUCCCAUUCAUUAUUUAUUUAAUAGAGCAAUUGCAUAUUUCAAUACCGCGUCUCUCAUGUCAUGCUGGGAUGACAACUUGGCUUAAGUGGUGUGAGGGAUAGGUUUGGCAUUUUUGGCACCGUUACUAGAUUUAGAGAACUAAGUCUACUUUUGGUAAUGAUGUUAAGAAUACCCAACAGUAUGCAUCGGCUCAAGGAGGUAGACAUGUUGUCUGCAAUAGCAGACCUGCUCAUGAAGAAGCUAGAUGAUAGAACUGGAGAUAAGAAAGAAGUUAUACACAUCUACGACUCUCACAUUACUUGUGAGAAAUGUGGAGACACUGGACACUCAGGCAAUCACUGCCCCGAGAUGCUUGAGGAUGUGAACUACGUCAACAAUAACAACAACAACUACUACAACCGUCCUCAACAAAACCAAGGUUGGAAUCAAUAGAGGCCUAACUACUCAGGUAAUUAUCAAGGUAAUAAUUCUUACAACAAUAAUAAUAAUUUUUCACCUCUGAGAGAGUUAGUAUCUAAUCAAGGAAAGCUAAUGGAUAACCUAUCUAAGAAAUUGGCAUCUAAUAAUAAAAUGUCAGAAAAUAUAAAUAAUAGAAUGGAUAAUUUCUCUACUGCCAUCAAGAAUCAAAUUAGCUUUAAUAAAAUGAUUGAAUCUCAGUUAAAUCAAAUAGCUGCUGCUGUUCCUGCUACUAACCCCGGUAUACCAUCACAACCGGAAGGAUUAGAAUCUACAAAUCUUGUAGACAUGUUUGAUACAGGUAAUUGGAGUAACCCCGUCACUAAAGUUACUACUGACCUUCUACCAGUUAAGAGAGGUGAUCCACGACGCCCCGUCAUCCCGAUCUCCAUCGGCAUGGUGGACGUCCCAGAAGCACUGUGCGACUUUGGCUCUAGUGUCAACAUUAUACCCAGGGUACUAUGAAAAUUUCUUUACAUAUCCUUUAUUAGAGACAACCAUGUGUUUGCAGUUUGCAGAUCAGACGAUAAGUUUUCCAAAAGGAAUAUUGAAGAACCUUUGUGUCCGAGUUGGUACCUUAUAUGCCCUAGCAGACUUCGUGGUGAUAGAGACCGGUAAUGAUGAGAGAGCACCUAUCAUCAUAGGGAGGCCAUUCUUAAACACCUCGGGAGCUAUCAUCUAUGCUAGUGCUGCCAAUAUCAGUUUCUACAUCAAAGGGAGGAAGGAGACAUUUUCCUUCAAAAACAAGACUACACAAAUCCCAGAUCAAUCCAUACGUGAAUCAAGGAAGAGGACCAACAGGAGGAACAGGAACAAGCAAGUGUGCACCGAGUCAGCUAAGAUGGUCACUGCAGUUCAUGGAGGUCAAGAUCACCAACUUAAGUCACCAUUUCUAACCAAGAAGGACGACCUAGGAAUACCAAGCAUCUAUUGCUCCAUAAAUGGAUACAACAUUUUCAAGACGAUUUGUGACACCGGAUUGGGCGUCAACAUAACGGCCGCAGUCACCUAUCGGCUCUUGUUCGGAACCAUGCCCUUAAAACCAACAUACAUUCAGCUCCAGAUGGCGAUCAGACAUUUCAAGAGGUUAAAGGUAUAGUAACUGAUGUCCCAAUCAAAUUAGAUGAUCAUUUUAUCUACACAGACUUUCAGGUUAUUGACAUGGGAGAAGACAAAUACGAUCCACCCAUCAUCCUUGGAAGACCGUUCCUCAGCACCGUUAAAGCAAUCAUCUACAUUGGAACUAGAGAAGUCCAUAUGCACUUCCCCUUAGAGAAGGUACGCC
rnacentral:lncRNA from 1 species